ACCAGUCUCUAAGAGGUGAGAUAAGUCCUUCUCUGCUUGAAUUGGAUCACUUAACUCAUUUGGAUCUCAGCUAUAAUGAUUUUGAAGGGAGGCAUAUACCUCCAUUCCUUGGUUCCCUCAGCAGAAUGCAGUACCUCAAUCUCUCUCAUGCCAAUUUCGCUCAAACUGUUCCCACUCAACUGGGAAAUCUUUCCAACUUGCUUUCCCUUGACCUCAGCGAUAAUUAUCUCUUGAAUUCUGGGAACCUGGAGUGGCUUUCUCGUCUUUCUUCUUUAAGACACCUUGACCUGAGUUCUGUCAACCUUAGUGAAGCCAUCCACUGGUCACAAGCAAUUAAUAAACUCCCUUCUCUCAUUCACUUGGACUUACAACACUGUUAUCUCCCUCCCAUCCCCCCACUCACCAUUCCGUCUCUUUCCCAUGGGAAUUCCUCUGUCCCUCUUGUUUUCCUUGAUCUCUCUGGGAAUUAUCUCACUUCUUCAAUAUACCCAUGGUUGCUCAACUUUAGUACCACCCUCCUUCAUCUUGAUCUCUCUUUCAAUGGUUUAAACGGUUCGAUUCCGGAAUAUGCUUUUGGGAACAUGAGUUCCCUUGAAUAUCUUGAUCUCCAUUCGAGUGAACUUGAUGAUGAAAUUCCGGAUACAAUUGGAGACAUGGGUUCACUUGCAUAUCUUGAUAUCUCUGAAAAUCAACUGUGGGGCUCAAUUCCAGAUACAGUUGGGAAGAUGGUUUUACUUUCACAUCUUGAUCUCUCUCUCAAUCAACUGCAGGGCUCCAUUCCAGAUACAGUUGGGAACAUGGUUUCUCUUAAAAAACUCUCUCUCUCUGAGAAUCAUCUUCAAGGUGAGAUUCCAAAAUCCUUGAGUAAUUUAUGUAACUUACAAGAAUUAGAGUUGGAUAGAAACAAUCUCUCUGGACAGCUUGCACCAGACUUUGUGGCCUGUGCAAAUGACACAUUAGAGACUCUGUUUUUAUCGGAUAACCAGUUCAGUGGAUCAGUUCCUGCUCUCAUUGGAUUUUCAUCCUUGAGAGAGUUACAUCUUGAUUUUAAUCAACUAAAUGGAACUUUACCUGAAAGUGUUGGACAGCUGGCCAACCUUCAAUCCUUGGAUAUUGCCUCAAAUUCAUUGCAAGGCACUAUCUCUGAAGCCCAUCUCUUUAAUCUAUCCUGGUUGUCCUAUUUAAACUUAUCUUCCAACUCUCUCACUUUCAACAUGAGCUUGGAUUGGGUUCCUCCAUUUCAACUGCUUUCUCUACGAUUAGCCUCCUGCAAAUUGGGACCUCGUUUUCCUAGUUGGCUUCGUACUCAAAACCAGUUGAGUGAGCUUGAUAUCUCCAAUUCUGAAAUUUCAGAUGUCCUCCCAGACUGGUUUUGGAAUGUAACCUCAACUGUCAAUACCUUGAGUAUUUCCAACAAUCGGAUCAAAGGGACCUUACCGAAUUUAUCAUCAGAAUUUGGUUCUUUUUCUAACAUAGAUAUGAGCUCAAACUGUUUUGAGGGUUCAAUACCACAACUUCCUUAUGAUGUGCAAUGGUUGGAUCUCUCCAAUAACAAGUUAUCGGGGUCCAUUUCUUUAUUAUGUACAGUUGGUACUGAGUUACUUCUACUUGACCUCUCAAACAACUCGUUGUCGGGAGGGCUGCCCAAUUGUUGGGCGCAGUGGGAAAGCUUGGUAGUUCUUAAUUUGGAAAAUAACAGAUUUUCUGGGCAAAUUCCAAUUUCAUUUGGUUCCUUGCGAUCAAUUCAAACACUACAUUUGCGCAACAACAAUUUAACUGGAGAAUUGCCUUUAUCUUUUAAGAAUUGUACAAGUUUGAGGUUCAUUGAUUUGGCAAAAAAUAGGUUAUCAGGAAAAAUACCAGAAUGGAUUGGAGGAAGCCUCCCAAAUCUGACUGUUCUAAACCUAGGAUCUAAUAGAUUCAGUGGAGGUAUAUGUCCAGAGCUAUGCCAAUUGAAAAAUAUUCAAAUAUUGGACCUCUCUAGCAACAAUAUGUUAGGUGUUGUACCGAGAUGUGUUGGUGGUUUCACUGCCAUGACUAAGAAAGGGAGCUUGGUCAUUGUUCAUAAUUAUUCAUUUGCAGACUUCUCUAGUAAGUAUUCACUUAUUAGGAAUGCCUUUUAUGUUGAUAGGGCAUUGGUUAAAUGGAAAGGAAGAGAAUUUGAAUAUAAAAGUACCCUUGGGCUUGUAAAGAGUAUUGAUUUUUCAAGCAACAAACUAUCGGGGGAAAUUCCAGAAGAAGUAAUUGAUCUUGUAGAAUUAGUUUCAUUAAACUUAUCAAGGAACAAUUUGACGAGAUUGAUCCCUGCAAGAAUUGGUCAAUUGAAAUCAUUGGAGGUUCUUGAUUUGUCUCAAAAUCAACUCUUUGGUGAAAUUCCAGCUAGCCUUGUUGAAAUAAGUGAUCUAAGUGUCUUAGAUCUCUCUGACAACAACUUGUCGGGUAAAAUUCCACAAGGUACUCAACUUCAAAGCUUCAAUAUUGAUUCCUACAAGGGAAAUCCUGCACUCUGUGGAUUGCCUCUUCUGAAAAAGUGUUUUGAAGAUAAAAUAAAGCAAGAUUCUCCUACUCAUAACAUUGAAGACAAAAUUCAGCAAGAUGGAAAUGACAUGUGGUUUUAUGUUAGCGUUGCUCUUGGAUUCAUUGUUGGAUUUUGGGGAGUGUGUGGAACUUUACUACUCAACAACUCAUGGAGAUAUGCCUAUUUCCAAUUCUUGAAUAAAAUAAAAGAUUGGCUCUACGUGAUUAUAGCAAUAAAUAUGGCUAGAUUACAAAGGAGUCUUCAAAGCUAAAUGGUACAAUUCUCUCCCUCUCUCACUCUCUUUCAUUUGUACUUGUUUUUUCAGGCUAACAAUUGUCAAAGAAAAGUAGGCCUUUACAUAUCCUUGGGAUAUACUUUAUAAAUCACGAAUGCUAAUGCAAAUUUUCUUUCCAAGCAACUAAUUGAAGGGAUUUUUUCAAAUUGAUGAACAUUGAUUUUUACUUUGUGUUAAUUGCAGGACUGCAACUCUUGUUCUUGCCAUAUUAGCAUGGUUGAAUGCAAAUCGUUGUGUCCUUCCUUCUAUGAUUGAUCUUGGGAUGUAAUAGGUUUCUUGUUUUAUUUUGAGGAUUACUAAUGUUCUUUAGAUGUGUAUUUUAUAUUUUAUUCAGAAAUUUGUGUGACAUAUUAUCUCUUUUCUUCCUUACACAAUGCUUUUAUUUGGUAUUUGGAUACUUUAUGAUUCAUCCAAACAGUAUUAUACAAGGAUAUCAAAGGUAUAUUAGAGUCCAACUUUCUAAUUUUAAAAAUAUUUCUUUAGCUCUAAAACUAAUUUUUUUUCAUUAAAAUUAAAACAAAAUAAAGGAUAAUGUCAUUUGGUUAUGUAUGACAUAAGUUUUCAACCAAUUAUUAAUAAUUAAAUCAUAAUUUCAAAACUAAAGAAUUUUUUUUUUCACAAGUUAUUAAUGAUAUGUUUCUCUCUUUCUAAAAAAACUAAAUUACUCUAAUAAAUGGGAAACUCUUACUUUCAGUUCGUUUAAGCUUUUUCACUUGAAGUUGUCUCACAUGUAGAUAAUUUUUGUGGAAUAUUUUGUUUUCAUCAAUUUUAUAAAAUAUUAAGUCUAACUUCUUUUCUUAAUAAAAGGUUUUUUCUAAGCAAUUAAAAAACCUCUUGUUCUUUUCUCUAUUUUAACAUAAUUCAACUUUAGGAUGACUAAAAUAUGAUUGAAAAAUAUAAAAUAAGAGAGAAUAAUUAUUUGGAUCUUAGCUGUAAUCAUUUUGAAGGGAGGCACAUACCUCCAUUCCUUGGUUCCCUCAGCAGAAUGCAGUACCUCAAUCUCUCCAGGGCCAAUUUCUCUCAAACUGUUCCCACUCAACUGGGAAAUCUUUCCAACUUGCUUUCCCUUGACCUUAGCGGUAGUUAUUAUGAGUUGAAUUCUGGGAACCUGGAGUGGCUUUCUCGUCUUUCUUCUUUAAGACUCCUUGACCUGAGUUUUGUCGACCUUAGUGAAGCCGACCAUCCACUGGUCACAAGCAAUUAAUAAACUCCCUUCUCUCAUUCACUUGGAUACAAAAUUGUGGUCUCCCUCCCAUCCCUCCACUCACCAUUCCAUCUCUUUCCCAUGUGAAUUCCUCUGUCCCUCUUGUUUUCGUUGAUCUCUCUUCGAAUCAUCUCACUUCUUCAAUAUACCCAUGGCUGCUCAACUUUAGUACCACCCUCCUUCAUCUUGAUCUCUCUUUCAAUGAUUUAAACUGUUCGAUUCCGGAAUAUGCUUUUGGGAACAUGAGUUCCCUUGAAUAUCUUGAUCUCCACAAGAGUGAACUUGAUGAUGAAAUUCCGGAUACAAUUAGAGACAUGGGUUCUCUUGCAUAUCUUGAUCUCUCUGGCAAUCAACUGUGGGGCUCAAUUCCAGAUACAGUUGGGAAGAUGGUUUUACUUUCACAUCUUGAUCUCUCUUACAAUCAACUACAGGGCUCAAUUCCAGACACAGUUGGGAAGAUGGUUUUACUUUCACAUCUUGAUCUCUCUCGCAAUCAACUACAGGGCUCCAUUCCAGAUGCAGUUGGAAACAUGGUUUCUCUUGAAAAACUCUAUCUCUCUCAAAAUCAUCUUCAAGGUGAGAUUCCAAAAUCCUUGAGUAAUUUAUGGAACUUACAAGCAUUUGGAUAUGUUUCAACCAAUUAUUAAUAAUCAAAUCAUAAUUUCAACAUUAAAGAAAAAAGAAAUUUUAAUCGCAAGUUAUUAAUGAUCUGUUUCUCUCUUUCUAAAAAAACUAAAUUACUCUAAUAAAUGGGAAACUCUUUCUUUCUUGUUGUCAAAGUUUUUCACUUGGAGUUGUCUCACAUGCAGAUAAUUUUUGUGGAAUAUUUUGUUUUCAUCCAUUUUUUGCUUAUCUCAAGUUAACUUCAUUUUCUUCUUAGUGGUUGAUUUUAUAGGAUAUUAAGUCUAACUUCUUUUCUUAAUAAAAAGCUUUUUCUAAGCAAUUAAAAAAAAACUAUUGUUAUUUUCUCUAUUUUAACAUAAUCCAACUAUAGGAUAACUAAAAUAUGAUUGAAAAAUAUAAAAUAAGAGAGAAUAAUUAUAUUUUAAUUAUACUCGAUAAGUAAUAUCAAAUAUUUGAUUCACUUAUUAGAAAGUAGUAUUGAUCUCCAACAUCAUGAGAUUAACAUCCCAAUGAUUUUUUUUUUAUUUGUUAAAAAUUCUUAUCUUUCAAUACAUUACAAAAUUCCUUAAACACUUUAGCCCAAUGAUCUCAUGUUGUUUUGUUUUAGUUUUUUUUUCCUUCAUUUCCAGUCUUUUUUAAGGUCCUCCAUAGCUUGGAUUACACUUUGUGAGAAUUUACUCAAAAAGUCAUUAAGAAUCAAGUCCUAUCAAGUUUUUAAAAUCGUAAAAAUGAAAACUUUUAUAUUACCAUUCUUUUAUAAGUUUUUGUAUUUAUUAAUUUUUAUUUAUUUCUUUAUGAUAAAAUCUUUUAUCUAAAAUAUUUUUCAUGAAACAAUAAUUCUUUACUAUGAUUUUUUAAAUUUAAAAUUAUAAAAGACUUCAAUUCUUAUUAAAAAUAUUAUUUAUAUUAAUAUUUUCUUCUGAGCUCUUUCUAUCAGAACAAGUAGUGACUGUGUAGAUCCCUCAUUUUGGUUCUAGAUGAGACUUAAUUCUUUCUAGUCAUCUUUCGUUCUAUUUUCACCUUUUGAAUGGUGAACUGUAAAAGACAGGUGGCAAAAGAGGAUAUUAUGGUGGCAGACUAUGAGGGUAAGACACGUGGCAAUGAGGUUUUGGUUUUUCUGUUGGCUGUUUUAGAGAGAAUAGUGGAGUGUCUUGGUGGUAGAAAGAGUCGGGGGUUGUUAGAGGGCAGUAGAAAAUGUCCUCUGCAGGGAUGGCACGUAUCAGAGGGAUAUAUUUUCCUUUUGGGGUAUCUUGAGAAAAGGAAAAAGAAAAGGGGGAAGAGGAUUUUAUAGGGAGGUGAUACGCUGGAUCUCGAGAAGAGCUGAGGAAAAGCUGUGAAACAGAGAGAGUGAGUAGGCUGUGAGAGAGCCAUUGUUGAGAGAGUAAGCAGGCUAUUUUUGAGAAAAAAAGGGAUCAGAUUAGGAGCUCACCAGUUUUGUACUAUGCAUGCUUGUGGAAUCUGAGACCAUUUUUUUAUGUACUUUAUAUCUGGUUCUACUUUGGCUCCUUUGGCUCUGUUUAUGAACAACUUGUGCAUUUCACUUUUUAUGAAUAACUUGAAUAUGGAUCCAUCACUAAAUCUGAUUGUUAAAGAUCAUGCCCCAACUUUCUUUUGAUUCCACCCUAGUGUAGCUCAUUGACAAUCCAUGAAAGAGGGCUAAGAUUCAUUGAUGUUUCGUUUAUUUGUUCGUUUAUGCUCUGCCCCUGUUUUCGUUCUUCCCUAUAUUCCUCUAUUUCUGGUGUCUCUGGGUGAGGAUACAAUAACUUUGGUUAGACAGCCUUUGAGAAGUCUACAUAUUCCUGGUAUCUAUCACCAUUUUGUUGGCGUGUUGGAGAAGCAUUGCAUUGGACCAGGAUGAGAUGGUAAGAGACUUCCAGCUUCGGAGCAAUACCUUUGCUUUCUUGCUGAGUACCAAAGCUGGGACUGGAAAUCUGAUCAGUAAAAAGAAUAGUGAGCAUUUCGGGUUGAAUGAGGGUCCUUCGAGAGUCUACGGAUGAUGGCUACUUGAUUUUGGAGUUGGGGAACGAAUUUUCUCACUACCGAUGAUAUGAGUGUCAUACUAGUUGCAAAACUGAAGAGAAGAUUGGGAUGUGAAAUGUGGGCAAAAUUACAUUUGACUGGCAUGCAUGUUGACAUGGGUAUCAAGUUCCACUGGAGAUCAGGUAGAGGCAAUGGCCUUUCUAGGGGGUUUAAGACAUAAAAUGUGCUUUAAUGGCAUGAGAAUUUCUGGGUCCCUUUCAUCUAGUACUGUUUAUUUGUUAAUUUGGAGACCCAUUUUUGGUUUUGUUGAGGGUUCUGAGUUGAAGUUGGCCUGUGUUCAUGUGCAAAGUUUUGUUGGUAGAAUGUUAAAAUCAUUAAGAGUGACAGUUUACGCCGAGCCACAUUGUUCAGAAAGGAGAAGUGGUUUUGAAGGAAUCAAUCCCAUGAAGUAGUUGCCUCCAACAAAGAUUUGAGCAUUUUGAAGUCUGGGGCUCUGAGCAUUGUACACUUGAAGAAUGGCUUCAACAGGGCUCUGAGCAUUCUUGGGUUGCUAAAGUUGCCUCGGUUCAUUCCAGGUGCUAAUCAAAAUGAUAGUUAAAUUAAAGAAUAUAAAUAACAUAAUGAUUUCCAAGCUAAUGAGUGUUGUAUGCUUAUAUCAUGCUCUAUCUAUCAUCUUUUCUCCACCAUAACGGUGUUUUAUUUUAUUGGUUUUUUGCUGGUACUGGCAGAUGUUUGUGGGUGGUGGGAGUAUGCUAGAGCUGAUCACAUGGGGGCAAUUUCUUUUGUUGUUUGUUUCUCUACCAAAUUCAAAGUGUUAAGCACACAAGGGUAACAUGGAGAUGUUUAUAUCCUCUGUAGUCUGUUAUGUAAAAGAGUCUGAACAGAGCAUAUGAUUGAGAUGCGGCUUCGCCAACAAAAUUAGUAUGGUGUUUUAUUUCUUUUCACAGAGCACCCACCUGCCCAUUCCCUGAUCGUGAGUGUUAUUCCUCUUCCUCGGGAUGUCUCGUAAAGGCCCUUCAGUCUAUGGCGUUGAAGACGGCAUUCUCAGUUUGGAGAGACUCCCAAUUUGCUGAUUGUAGUUAAGAGUUUCACUACAUAUAUAGUUCUAUCAUUCAACAUACUUAUUCCGGAGUUAGGAAUGUAAGGGAUAAGAGCUUAUUUCAGACUAUUUAUUCAUGUUCUGUUUAAGAUUUUUAAAAGAAAAACGAAUGUGUGGCAAGUGAACCGCUUGAAUAUCUCCCUCAACACAAAUCAGGGAGUUCGACAUUCCUCAAAACAAGUACAUUAUCUCAGUUUGCAGUAAACAAGGAAUUUACCGUCCAUAGACAAAUAAACCAACGGCUGGCAUGUGCCUCUUCAAGUAGUCUAGGCUCUGCAUUGAACCAUUCCACACUUAGAACUUUUGAGAAAUCAAUAGUUGAGCGACAUUCAAAUGACUUUAAAGCACUCGAGCUUAUUCUUAUCAUGAAAAAGAUGAAACAAAGAGAAAUUUAGUUUGCUCUCAACUGCAAUCCAUAUCUUCUGGAAAGGAUGAAAUUCAUUAUGGGCAUCUCGAAAGCAUAUUUCAAGGCUGAGAAAUUCACGAGUCAAUUAGGAAACACAGGGCAUGUCAAGAUGCUACAGCCAUUUGCGUUUUCUUGCUUUAACAUGGGAACAAACAGAAAAUGAUGUAACAGUUCAAGAUGAAUCAGAAAAGAUAGUCUUGAAAGCAUCAAGUUUUCCCAAAAGGGGGGGGGGGGCGAGUUCAGACCAUGAAGUGUAGGAGAAAUUGGUUGGAUGCAUAUCUAACAAGAAGACAUGUUUCUAAGGCAUAUAACCAAUUUUCCAGAUUCUGAUUUUCAUGAUUUUGAUAUCGACGAAACUGAGAGUUCCUUUGGGGAUGACCAAUUUUAGUCUGCAUAUGAUAACAAAUGAUGAGAGAAGCCUCCUCAAUGUAAGCAGCUCAGGGCCUUCUAAGGCAUUUCCCUACGUAUAUUCCAGCAGAUAAGGACGAAAUUAAUAUUAGGACUUAUGUCUAUGGAGAUGUGGAGCUAGUCGAAAUUGCAAUUCAGCUUUCAAAACGUUAUUCUAAUAGGAUGCUUCCAAAGAUCCAUGAAGCUGGAAAUUUGAGACAACAACUCUUUUGCUGUUAACAUUUGGAACCAAAUCGUAACAGAUAUUGGUAUUGCAAUAACCAAGGAGCACAUUGACCAUCUUGGAAUCAUAACUCGAGAUGGUGCUCCAUGAUUCUUAAAGGCUUUUGAGGAAAUUAAAGGUUUCGAGGUUGAUGGUGUACUGAUUGGUCAACUUGUUGGCAUAUUUCCUACAUUUCAGGUACAGCGAAGGUGGCAGUGCCAAUGAAGGGCUCAUGAUCUGAUGAGCAAUAUAUCUGAAAGGCAUCAGGAUCUUCACCCCAUUCUGCAAGUGAUACAUGCACGAGCAACAGGCUUGAGAUCAUUAUUGAUCCUUAUCCGAAAAGAUGCUAGUUAGGGAGCAGUUCUGGAAGGAAAAGAAUUCCUACAAGCUCCACAAAAUGAGAACCUUAUUCUCAUGAUGACAAAACAACAGUAAAAAAAAAAAGUUUGACUAGGAAUUCAUAAUGAACAGGGGAACACAAAAGUUGAGUUACAAUGUUAAGGCGAAUGAGUGGCAGCACAAGCAGUUUGAUCCAAAAUCAAACUUUACUGCUGCACCACAAGCUGUUGUUGUUGAUGAACAAGGAUUAAAAUAUCGAAAAUUAGGGGCAACAGACCAUAUGACAGGUUGUGCAAGUCUUUUUUCUACUUAUACUCCAGGUUCUGGACACAUUAAAGUCAAAAUUGCAUAUGGAUCUCUCGCUACUGUUGCAGGGGCUGGUACUAUAAUUUUAGGGCCUCAUAUAACCUUUUUCAAUGUUCUCCAUGUCCCAAAAUUAUCAUGUAAUUUGUUGUCUAAGGAAGAGCAUUGGCAGUGCUAAGGAAUAUGGAGGGCUCCACAACUUCAAGGAAAUACCAAGGAUGGACAAGUUCUAUCAGUUGGUUGUGAAUCUUCCUAGACGACUAAGCAACAAGAAAUAGUGUUGUGGCACUUUAGGUUAGGUCAUCUUAAUUUUCAAUAUUUGAAGCAUUUGUUUCCUUCUUUUUUCAAUAAUAAAGAUGUUUUUUAGUGUGAUAUUUAUCAAUUUGCUAAACAUCAACGGUCCAAUUAUCCUUCUCAACCCUAUAAAGCAUCCAAACCUUAUGUAAUGAUACACACUGCAUAUGGGGUCCCUCACGUCUACAAAGUCUAAUUGGGAAAAGGUGGUUUAUCAUUUUUAUUGAUGAUCACACGAACUACAUGGCUAUGUCCUUGAAAGAAAAAAAUGAGGCAAAACCAACAUUCAAAAUUUUUUAUCAAAUGAUUCAAAACCAAUCUAAUGUUAAAAUCCAAGUCUUAUAAACGAAUAACAAGAAAGAGUAUUUUAACACCAUUUUGAGGAAUUAUUUGUUAGAAAAAAGGAUUAUGUAUCAAAGUUCGUGUAUAGAUACACCUCGACAAAAUGGAGUGGUCAAGUGAAAGAAUAGACAUUAUUGGAAGUAGCCCGAUCCAUUAUGCUUACCAUAAAUGUAUCAAAACAAUUUUGGGGAGAUUCCAUUCUUACAACUUAUUAAGAUAAUAAAUAAUAUGUCUACCUGAGUUUUCAAUUACCAAACACCAUUAAAAUCAUUCCUUCAAUUAUAUGCACAAACUCAGUCCAUUAACCAACUUUCCCUUAAGGUUUUCGGUUGUAGAGCCUUUGUUCAUGUUCUUGACCAAAAUCAAACCAAACUAGAUCCUACAGCAUUAGCUAUAUCUUCCUUGGUUAUUCAGCCACACAAAAGGGGUAUCGUCAUUGCUCUCCUAAAAAACAAAAAUAUUGUCACUUGGAUGUUACAUUUUUUUUAGAACCAACCUUUUUCUCCAAAAAUUCACUUCAGGGGCAGAAUAUAGAUAAAGAGAAUUUUUGGGAAUUAUCAUUGCUAAGCCUACUACUAGAACAACCACCAAACCUGUUGCCUAACCCGACUAUAUCACCAAAACAACUAUUAAACUAGCCUUCUUACCCACCUGAACAGCCAGGUCACCUCUUUAACCAACUAGUGUUUGAAACUAACAAACCAAAAACAACCGAACCCAACUAGACUUGGGGUGUCAAUGAUAAGUCCCAAACUCAGUCUUUGCGAAGAUACUUUGUUUUCUCUUCGGGUGAGAAACGAACCACAAUUUGAUUGCAAAGAAAAAUACCUCCUAUUAACGAAAGCAUUGGCUGCUUUAAAUAAGCAAAGCCACGUACAAACGAACCGAAAUAAAAAGGAAACUAACAGCUAACAAAUGGAACCCAAUACACUUAAAACAGAGCAUAACAAACGGAAAUAAAAUGACUAUUCAAGCAAAGACUGGUUAGUCUCCCAUGUGGCGUCCUCGACUGGUAGAUGCUUCCACUGGAUAAGAUUUUCUUCUUCAAAUUUAUUCCCCCGUUUGACCUAGCGAGUGUCCAGUAUAUGCUGAGGUUCGAGUAUAACAGCCCCUUCAUCAUUAACUGGCGGCAGCUCUUGUGAAGGUUUUGCAAGUUCUCCCACGAAAUUUUUUAAGAGUGACACGUGGAAGACAGGAUGAAUGUGGGCUCCUUCCGGCAGUUGAAGUUUAUAUGCGACGACCCCAAUCUUUUGUAUCAUUGGAUAUGGUCUGUAGAAGCGACUAGCUAGCUUCUGGUGGGCUCGUUUGAAGGCUGUCUGUUGUCUGUAGGGGUGCAAUUUAAGAAACACUAGAUCACCAACUUCGAAGAAAACAUCCCGACGUUUUUGAUCCGCAAUCUACUUCAUGCGAUUAAUGGAAGUCUCUAGAUUAAUUUUGAGUUGACGCAACAGUUCAUCUCUAGCCUCUAGACUUUGGUCGACUUCAUGCACCGAAGACAUCCCAUUAUGGUAAAUGGGAAUUUGAGGAGGUAAUAUAGUGCCUGAAAAGGGGUCAUUCCUGUGGACGCAUGAUACGUUGUAUUGUACGAGAGCUCAGCCCAUGGAAGGUAGUUGCUCCACUUGCGUGGCCAUUGAUGAACCAUACUCCGGAGGCAUUGCUUAACACAACGAUUGACAACUUCUGUUUGUCCGUCCGUCUGUGGGUGGUAGGCGGAGCUAAGUUGUAGCUUGGUUCCCAACAUUUGAAAGAACUCCUGCCAGAAUUUGCUGAUAAAGAUGGGGUCCCGGUCGCUGAUGAUAGACUUGGGUAGUCCAUGCAAUUUAAUAACUCCUUCUACAAACCUUUCAGCCACGAUUUUAGCAGUAAAAGAAUGAGUUAAGGCUAGAAAAUGUGCAGACUUACUCAAACGGUCGACAACUACUAAGAUUGUGUCCUUCCCGUGGAUGUCGGUAGUCCUUCAAUGAAGUCUAAGGUGAUGUCGUCCCACACUUGACAUGGAAUGGGUAACGGCUGCAGGAGCCCAGUUGGAGGCAUUGUUUCAGACUUAACCUUCUGGCAAGUUUCACAUUUCUUGAUAUACUAUUGCACCGUCUGGUACAUUUUUGGCCAGUAGAAUUGUUGGGCCAAUUUCUUGAAUGUCCGCAAGACCCCAGAAUUCCUCCUAUUUUUGUAUCGUGCAUUUCAUGGAGUAGUUUCGUCUGUAAGGCAGCAUGAGAAGGAAUGAUGACUCUCCCUUUAAAGAAGAGCAGCCCAUUACGCCAUGCAUACGGCCCUUCUAGUUGAGCAUUAGCCAGUCGAGUUAGAGAUUGGACGUAAGAGUCUCCUUCAUAAGCUUUUUUAAUCUCAUCCCAUAUGGUCACCAUUGGCACAUGAAGAUGGAGAAGAAUUGGACUACUAGACUUGCGUGAGACGGCAUCCGCUACUAAAUUCUCGUGGCCUAGGCGGUAAAUAAUCUCAUAGUCAUAGCCCAUUAGCUUGACUACCCAUUUUUGCUGUUCUGGCGUAGAUACAUGCUGCUCCAAGAAAUAUUUCAAGCUACGCUGGUCGGUGAGAAUGAAGAAUUUUUUUCCCAGUAGAUAAGGACGCCAUAGGCGUAUGGCCUCCACAAUUGCAAGCAUUUCCUUGGCGUAGGUUGACCAAGAUUUUUUUGUAACCCCCAAUGCUCGACUCAUAAAUGCUAUAGGCCUGCCUUGCUAUGAUAAAACUGCACCAAUCCCCUCCCCAGAUGCAUCAGUUUCAAUGGUGAAGGAGUCAUUGAAAUUAGGCAUAGCUAAUGUUGGAGUGGUUGUCAUUGCUUGUUUGAGAGCUAGAAAGGCUGCUUCGGCUUCAUCAUUCCAGCCAAAUUUUCCCUUUUUGAGCAAGUGGGUUAGGGGUCACGCUAUGAUGCCGUAGUUUUGAACAAACUUUCUGUAAUACCCUGUUAAGCCUAAAAAACCACGUAACUCAGAAAUAUUAGUGGGGUGUGGCCAUGCGACCAUGGUUGCAAUUUUAUUGUUAUCAACCUUCACUCCUUGAUGUGUGACAAUGUGCCCCAAGUACUCCAGUUCCUGUUGGCCAAACACGCAUUUGCCUGCCUUGGCAAAAAAUUGGUGUUGUCACAAGGUCUCCAAUGUUUGUUUAACAUGCACCAUAUGCUCAUCCUAAGUGGGACUAUACACCAAAAUAUCAUAAAAAAAGACCAAAAUGAAUUUUCGAAGGUAAGGUCGAAAUAUUAAGUUCAUGAUGGCCUGAAAUGUCGAGGGUGCGUUACAAAGGCCAAAAGGCAUUACGAGAUAUUCGUAAUGGCCAUUAUGAGUACGGAAAGCAGUUUUAAUAACAUCGGAAGGAUUUACUCUUACUUGAUGAUAGCCGGCCCUCAGAUCAAAUUUGGUGAAGUAAGUGGCGCCAUAUAAUUCUUCCAACAUAUCAUCCACUGUUGGAAUGGGAAAACGAUCCUUGAUGGUGGCAACGCUAAGUGUACGGUAGUUUGUACAAAAUCGCCAACUGCCAUUUUUUUUCUUCACUAGUAGUACCAGCGACGAGAAAGGACUGGUGCUCGGACGAAUGAGCCCCGAAUCUAACAUUUCUUGGACCUGUUUCUCGAUUUCUGCUUUCUGAAAGUGGGCAUACCUAUACGGCCGGACGUUAAUUGGCUCGGUUCCCUCCUUUAGCGUAAUACAAUGAUCCACUUCAUGUGCAGGUGGUAAACUUGAGGGCUCUUGGAACACGUCCUCAUACUCUUUCAACAACCUCUGCAUACUUUGCUGGGUAACUUUAGUUGGUGCAUCAGCUGGUGCGGUUUCCAUGGUUGGUUGGAAACACACAGCAAAUAGCGCAUGUCCUUGGCGAAACUCCUUCAAUAUUUCUUCUGGUGAAGCGGCCUGAAUGGUUUGCACGUCCACUCCUUGCAGCCUUCGGUCUUGAUUUUCCCAAAUAAAAUCCAUGGUCAACUGUUUCCAGUUACAAACCACAGAUCCCAGCAUUUCAAGCCAUUGAACGCCGAGGAUAAGAUCAAGACCUGAUAAGGGCAGAGAGAAAAGGGUGAGGUAGAAUUUAGUACCUUGUAAUUCUACCCGUACCUUAUCGUAACACCCCUGACACGUUAGUCUUUCUUCGUUGGCCACCUGGACAGGGAAUGUCUCUGUAGGUAUGACUGGCAACCUAAGCAUGUUUGCCAAACGGUUGCUGAUGAAGUUGUGUGUCGAUCCAUAACCCACAGGUCCCAUGUUUCUUAUGGGAACCAACAAGGAGCGAAUUGAGCACUUGGAGACUAGACUCGGUGUAGUUCAGGAAGAACUACAGCGAAUGGAGUUGGGUAUGAUCGACAAACUCCACCAUCCGGAGGAAGCUCUCAAUCGACUUUCGAACGUGUUGCUCGCUAAUCUGGAGUCCUUAAAUCAGGCAAUUACCACCAAGAAAACCAAAAUGGAGGUCGGUAGAUCGUCUCGUCCAAAUCAGCCAAGCUAGAAUUUCCACGCUUCUCUGGAAACGAUCCAAUGAAGUGGUUCAAUCGGGUGGAACAAUUCUUUGACUACCAGGGCACUGCAGAAAACCAAAAGGUUCCUAUGGCUGCUUACCACCUUGAAGGGGAGGCCAACCAAUGGUGGCAAUGGCUUCGCAGGAUGUUAAAGGAAGGACACGUGAUUUCGUGGGGGAAAUUUGAAGAGGAAUUAUGGGCUCGCUUCGGACCAUCAGGAUGCGAAGACUUUGAUGAAGCUCUCUUAAGGAUCAAGCAACUGGGAACUUUGAGGGACUAAUAGCGCGAGUUUGAAAAGCUUGGCAAUAGGGUCCAAGAAUGAACUCAGAAAGCAUUGGUGGGGACAUUCAUGGGUGGCUUGAAGGCUGAAAUAGCGGAUGGGAUUUGGAUGUUUAAGCCACAGUCGCUCAAAGAGGUCAUUAACUUGGCACGGAUGAGGGACGAUCAACUCGCAUGGCAAAGAAGGUUCAUGCGGUUACCACCUGUGAGAGCUCCGAUAGCUCUUCCACAAGCCACUCGUGUAGCUCUUGCUACACCUGCAAAACCCAUUAAGCUUUUGUCUUGGGAAGAAAUGCAGAGGAAGAGAGCACAAGGUCUUUGUUUCAACUGCAAUGAACGUUUUACAGCAAGCCAUAGAUGUCAAAAACCACAACUCUUACUCUUGGAGGGGCAUGCAGGUAACGUGUAUUGUGGGGACGGUACUGAUCAACAAACGUUGGAAGAUGACCAUGGUGGAGAGGCAGCAGAGGUGCAGGAACAUGAACGUAAACCAGAGAUCACCUUGCACACACUAACAGGAUGGACAACACUGAAAACCAUGCGGGUAACAGCGAAAAUGGGUCGCCAUGAAGUAAUGGUUUUGAUUGACAAUGGAUCGACACACAACUUCAUCAGCAACCGUUUGGCAAACAUGCUCAGGUUGCCAGUCAUACCUACGGAGACAUUCCCUGUCCGGGUGGCCAACGGAGAAAGACUAAGGUGUCAGGGGCGUUACGAUAAGGUACGGGUAGAAUUACAAGGUACCGAAUUCUACCUUACCCUUUUCUCUCUGCCCUUAUCAGGUCUUGAUCUUGUCCUCGGCGUUCAAUGGCUUGAAAUGCUGGGAUCUGUGGUUUGUAACUGGAAACAGUUGACCAUGGAUUUUAUUUGGGAUUUGGUUUAUGGCCCUUCUCAGAUCGUCGUGGCCUAUCAAAGUUCCCAGUUGCUUGAUCCUUGAGAGAGCUUCAUCAAAGUCUUCGCAUCUUGAUGGUCCGAAGAGAGCCCAUAAUUCCUCUUCGAAUUUCCCCCACGAAAUCACAUGUCUUUCUUCCUUUAACGUCUUGUAAAGCCACUGCCACCAUUGGUUGGCCUCCCCUUCAAGGUGGUAAGCAGCCAUGGGAACCUUUUGGUUUUCUGCAGUGCCCUGGUAGUCAAAGAAUUGUUCCACCCGAUUGAACCCCUCUGUUGGAUCGUCUCCAGAGAGGCGUGGAAAUUCUAGCUUGGCUGAUUUGGACGAGACGAUCUGCCGACUUCCAUUUUGGUUUUCUUGGUGGUAAUUGCCCUGAUUUGAGGACUCCGGAUUAGCGAGCAACACGUUCAAAAGUCGAUUGAGAGCUUCCUCCAGAUGGUGGAGUUUGUCGAUCAUACCCAACUCCAUUCGUUGUAGUUCUUCUUGAACUACACCGAGUCCAGUCUCCAAGUGCUCAAUUCGCUCAUUGUUGGUUCCCAUAAGAAACCUGGCUCUGAUACCAAUGAUAGGUCCCAAACUCAGUCUUUGCUAAGAUACUUUGUUUUCUCUUUGGGUGAGAAACGAACCACAAUUUGAUUGCAAAGAAAAAUACCUCCUAUUAACGAAAGCAUUGGCUGCUUUCAAUAAGCAAAGCCACGUACAAAUGAACUGAAAUAAAAGGGAAACUAAUAGCUAACAAAUGGAACCCAAUACGCUUAAAACAGAGCAUAACAAACGGAAAUAAAAUGACAGAAAACUCUCAACUACAGAUGACCCAUUUCCUUCUGCACGUAGGACUCUCAACUGCCACGACCUAGUCCAAGUCCAACGGUCCUUCACGUUCCAACUCAUCCCAAAUAUUUGGGAUUUGGUUUAUGGCCCCUCUCAGAUCGUCGUGGCUUAUCAGUCAACAACAAAAACAGAUUCAAGGCCAGGAGAGAUUCACUACAAUAACCAAAACUUCAUGUCUAUUCAAGGAGGAGUAACUCAAGAAUAGUAGAAACCAAAAUGGAUCAAUAGUGCUGUCAAGAAUAAGAACAAACUGUCCUUCCUGAGGUAAGUGACCUUAAUUUGCCUAUAGCCAUGAGAAAAGGUGUUUGACCAUGUACUCAACACCCUCUCACCUCAAUUUCAAGCUUUUAUUUCCAAACUUUUAGGAGAAGAAGUUCUGGAACAUAUUUAUAAGGCUCUACAAGAUCCUCGAUGGAGAGAAGCUUUUAUGGAGGAAAUGAAAGCUUUGGAAAAAAACCGAACUUAGGAUUUAGCGGACAAGCCCAGAAGAAAUAUAUUUGUUGGAUGCAAAUGGUGUUUGCUAUUAAAUAAAAGUCAGAUGGGUUCAUUGAAAAGUACAAGGCAAGGUUGGUAACUAAGGGAUUUGCACAAACUUAUGGUAUUGACUAUCAAGAAACAUUUACCCUAAUUGCCAAACUUAACAUCAUAACAGUUCUUUUAUCCCUUGCUGCAAAUCUGGAUUGGUGAAUUCAAUAACUAUAUAUCAAAAAUGUUUUUAUGAAUGGAGACCUAGAAGAAGUGUACAUGGAAUUGUCUCCUAGAUUCGAUCAAAGAAGGAAGGUAAGGAAAGUCUACAAGAUUAGAAAAUAUCUCUAUGGGUUGAAACAGUCUUUUUAUGCAUGGUUCAAGAGAUUUACCAAUGCCAUCAUGAGGCAUGGAUAUACAUAGGAUCAAUCUAAUCAUACCUUAUUUUAUCAUCACAAUGAUGGUAAGGUCACUAUUCUCAUGGUCUAUGUGGAUGAUAUCAUAGUGAUUGGGAAAUGAUUUAAUGGAGAAUGAACAAUUAAAAGGGAAGCUAGUUGCUUAGUUUGAAACCAAAGAUCUAAGACCUCUACGUUACUUUCUAGGGAUGGAAAUGGCAAGGAAAAAGAGUGAAAUAUCAGUUUCCUAAAGAAAAUAUAUUCUAGAUCUCUUGAAGGAAACCGAGAUGCUAGGAUGUAAACCUUUGGAUGCUACAAUGGAUUCGGUAAAGGAGAUUGAAGGAUAAAAAGAAAGCACACCUGUCAACACUGAAAGAUAUCAAUGUCUAGUAGGGAUGCUAAUUUAUCUUUCCCACACUAGACUAGACAUCGCUUUUGCAAUAAGAAUUGUGAAUCAAUACAUGCAUGCUCUUUACAAAGGACAUAUGGAAUCCAUGUAUAGAAUUCUAAAGUAUCUCAAAGGAUCUAUAGGGAAAGGAUUAUUCUUUAGAAAAAAAUGAAACAAGAAGCAUUGAAGGGUUCACGGAUGCUAACUAGGCAAGUACCAUAGAAGAUCAAAGAUCAACUUCAGGCUAUUGCACCUUGGGGCAAGUACAAUAUAUUAACCCAUUCCACAUCAGAACUCAUAAGCCAAAGUCCAAGCUUGGUUCAAAAACUUAGGCCUUGAGAUUGAGUGUUGCAACAUCUUGGACAUGGGCAUCUAUCCCCACUUGGAAAUUAUUGCUCACCAUAUUUGUGUUAUAAAAGUCUAUAAUGGUUUUGGAAAUUCUAUCCUUAUUCUCCAUUUUUUUAUUAGCAAAUAAAAUAAAAAUUAUAUUUACAUUCAAGCAAGGAUUUACUAAUGUCAGUAAAUAUACAUAUCGAUUUGAUAGGUUGGUGGGUCAUUGAAUCAAGUUAAGUCAGAUCAGAUUUAGCUAGCCAACAAGUUAUAAUCACAUUUUACAUCAAUUUAAUUAGGAAUUUCCUUUCAAAAUAAAAUCACAUUAAAUCAGCUUACUACCUCUUGUAGUUGAUAUACAUUUAACAAGGAAUUGAUUGUCAAAUUUAUAAAAGUCAUAUUUUAAUAGGCUAAUAUUUGGAAUUAUAAUAGUUUCAUUAAACAUGACAACUUUUAAUUUAAGAGAAAAAUGCCUCCAUUAGAGAUUAAAGAGGAGCUUUUAGUUUCAAAAAAGAAAAUCCAAAAUAGCAUUUGUCUCUCCUUAGUCUUAUGGAAAAUUUUAUUUCAUAGGAGGAAAAGAACUUCUAUGUUUCAAAAUUUGGAAAAAAUAAAAAAUAAAAAGUUACGAUUUAUAAGUUAGUAGAGUAUUUUGAAAUUUUAACUUUUCUAACAUAGUAUUUUAGCUGAGUAAUUCCCAAUACUUUUAUUUUCAAAUUAUUUCUUAUCACUCAAUCACAAAGUCCACAAACUUCAUUUCCUACAAAUGAAAUGAAAAUCAAAAUUAGCAAAAAAAAAAAAAAAAAAAAAAACCAGUAUAUUGGUGUCAUAAAAUAAUAUGUGGAUAUAAUCUUGCUUUAUUUUUGACAAAAUAAUAACUUGAAUAUUUGAUUUGGUUGUUUUGAUGUAGAUCCAAGAAGUGAAGCAUUGUGGACUUGCAUUUUUUCACGUGCGCCCCCACUCAAUCGGUGAGACUCACUUUUAUUUGUGAAAAAUUAUUUUUGAAAAAGUCAGAGUAACCAAUUUGUGGACCUACAUUUUUCACGUGCGCUCCCACUCGAUCGACAAGACUCGCUUUUAUUUUUGAAAAAUUAUUUUUGGAAAAGUCGGAGUCGUCACUUAUUUUAUUUUAUUUUAAAGGGAAAAUAAAAUAAGAAAUAAAACCCUAAAAAAAUGACUCCACAUUUUUGGAAAAGCAUGUCUCGAAAAAUCUAAGUCUAGGUCCGGGGAUCAGGUUAUCUAUUAGGAAGGUACCUCUAAAAGGUAGCAUCUCUCUAAGCCUUACAAAGGUCUCUACUGACUAAUUUAAGGGAAAUGUGGCAAUUAAUUGAUUAAUUGAGGAUACCUAGGUAGGCUAAGGUGAUUUCAAAAAAAUAGCAUGCCAAACAAGAUCAAAUCAUAAUAAAUGAGAGUUAGGAUGCGUACCUGAACCGCUUCUCAAGCGCUAUCAUAAAACAUCAAAGUCAAUAUAGAAAUAUAACACACGACAUGUAUUUAAUCAUAGCAAAUCAAGCAUACAUCCAAGAACCUAAGGAUCAUAUCAAACAUAAAUAAGGCUCAUAACAACAUGCAUGUUCAUGAAAUUCUGAAAAGUAAAGAUAGAGAGCGCACCUAGAUAACAUGCAUAAUUUAUAAGAUUCCUCCAAAAAUGUAAUAAUGGUUAGGACAAGUAUAAAUUAUAUAAUAUCUCUAUUAUAUCUAAUAUAUAGUACCAAAUCCAAAAGUGAACCAAGGUAAGUCAAAUGACUCCAAAAGCAGAUAACAAAUUCCAACAAGUACUGAGUCAUCAACAUGCAUAUAGUAAAGGGAGCAUCACAAAAAAAUUGCUAAAAAAAAUGUCUUGGAGUGGAAUUUAAUCACAAAAAAUUUCCAUAAGCAACUCCUACAUAUCUAGAACAAGAUACCAAAAUCAAAACACUCAUUCGAAUGACAAAUUGCAACAAAGACACCCAAAAAUUCCAAAAGGUCCAAAUUAGGUAAAAAGAAAAUAAUGACAUGCAUAAACGAAUUUUUUAAAGAAUUAUAAGACAUCACAUAAAUUCUUACAAAAAAUCACAUACAUCAUUCAAGGUGUUUAUAUCACAAAGAAAAUAAAUCCAGGGUUGGGUGGUACUAAAAAAUAUUUUAAAAACACUCAAGCUAAUCAAAUGUCCAUAUUCCAUCAUGCACAGUAGGUACAAAUUUGAAAAGUCAUAUCUCCCUCAACGAGGCAUGUGUUUUAAUAUUUUAUGUGUCUAAGAUCAAUUUCAAGAAGCCUAGAAUUGAGAAAAAAAUAUUGAAUCAAAUUUAAAAAAUCGCCUGGUAUUUUAUUUUUUCAAAAAGUUCUCGAGUGUCCAGAACUGGGUGAAAACAAAGCCCCCCUAAAGACUCAUUCAUAUUUUCUAUUCCAGAAUGACUUUCUAACUCAAAUGAAAGUUUAAAUUCAAGUUCAAGAAGUGAGGAAAGUCAUGCAAGUUUUGGAAAACUUUUAAAAACAUUCUAAAGUUUCUAAAAUGAAUUUUAAAUCUAAAGGGUCAGUGGCUAUAAGUGAAAAUUUGUAGCAAGGAAGAGUUUUGAAAAAUUUUCUUAUGUAGGGGUUUCACCAAUUCCCUAAUUGAUAUAUACAAAUCCAACCUAAAAUCAUCCCAUUUGUUUGGGACCACAAGCUUGAAUUCAUAUUCCGUUCAAAACCAGGAUAUUUUUUUGAAAACUGAGAAAGAUGCAAAAUGAUCAAAACAUGGUUGCAUAUUUUUAAAGAAAAUGGGAUUUUGAUUCUGAAGACUGUAUAUUUUUUGCACAAAAUUUUCAAAGGUAUCUUUUGAGAAAAGCAUUUGACUUUAAAGUAAAGGGAAUUAGUAUGAAAACAACAAAACAUAAGAAAUGAAAUACCGAGCAAAACAGAAGAAAACGAAUUCACAAAGUGAAAUUUUUUACAAUCUGAGUAAACCAAAGUGGUGAGAAUGGAGGCCAAUCUUCACUUUUUUUUUUAUGACCUAUGAAAAUAAAAUUAAAGAUAAAAUUAUUAUAGCAACCUACCAGAGAUGUUUAGAUCAAGUAAACUAACAUUUUAACAAAUCCAACUUUUAAUUUGGCACCAAAAAUUACAUGCUAACGUUUUAAAAAAUCUAACUUUCAUUCUAUUACUAAGGAGUAUGGAAAACAAGUGUCUAAAGAAAUUCUAUCUUUUAAAUGAUCACCAAGAAUAAAAAAAAAAAAAAAAAGACUUCAAGAAAAUCUUAAACUAGCAUAGAUAAUCAAGAACUAAUUGUUGGAAUUUUAAAUGCAUCUAAACUUAAGAUAAAUCAAUCAAGCGCUUAGAAAUGAGUUUUAAAAUGAAACUAAUAAUACGGGAUAUUCACAAUUAUCAACUUAGUUCCAAAGAAAUAGUAAACGUCAUCGGGAUCACUAAAACAACAUCUAAUAAUCUAAAGAACAACAUAUAAUGGCAUAAAUCAUCAAAAAACAGUAACUUAUUGCUUAGAAUCGAAUGUAAAUUAACAUGGGUUUUUAAAAUUAACUACUAAGGAUUCAGGGAAUAAACGAAACAUCAUGGAUCAAUAUAGAAAAGAAUUCAUAAGUAUGCACUAAGGGGAUCAAAAGAUUUCAUGAGUGUUGAUUUAAAAAAAAAACAGUUGAUUCCUAAUUCAAUAGUUCUAAUGAAUUUUAUUUAUAAAAGAAAGUUUUGAUUAGUUUAAAUAAUAAAAUGCUUUAAUUUCAUUUAAGGAAAAUACUUUUAAAAAGUUUAUUUACACGAAAAUAAAUGUUAUUACUUUUGUAAAAGAAAUAUUUCAUGAGUAUUAAAAAAAUAAUUGAUUUCCUAUUCGAUAGUUUUAAUGAAUUUUAUUUAUAAAAGGAAGUUUUGAUUAAUUUAAAUAAAAAAGGCUUUAAUUUUAUUUAAGGAAAAUAUUUUUAAAAAGUUUAUUUACACGAAAAUAAAUGUUAUUACAUUUGUAAAAGAAAUAUUUCAUGAGUAUUAAAAAAAUAAUUGAUUUCCUAUUCGAUAGUUUUAAUGAAUUUUAUUUAUAAAAGGAAGUUUUGAUUAAUUUAAAUAAAAAAAGGCUUUAAUUUCAUUUAAGGAAAAUACUUUUAAAAGUUUAUUUACAAAAAAAUACCAUAAUUCUAUUUUAUUUACAAAGGAAAAAAAAUUCAUAGGAAAGAAAUGAACAAAAAUAAUAAUAAUGAUAAAUUUUAUCUAUAAUUAUAAUAAUAAUAAUAAUAAUAAUAAUAAUAAUAAUAAAACCUCAUAAAAAAAGAAAAGAAAAUUAUCUCACCAUUUUUAAAAAUAUUUUAUAAAUGUGAAAAAAAUAUAUUUUAUAAUUUUAUUUAAAUUGUGUACGAUAUUUAGAAAGAGAUAGGAUUGUAAAGUAUUGGAAUAGGAUUUUUUUUUUUAAAUAGGAAAAUCUUUCGUGGAGGAUGAUUGGCUAUUGUGCGUCACCAUUGUUUUCAUUUUUUUUUUUUUUUUAAUGUAAUUUCCGGGGACUCAUUAGAAUAUGACCACAUAUGGAACCGUACUAGCGGGAAGGCCGACAUCCUCAAGCCUAGGGUGUACUUCCUUCGCCAAGGAGCGAUUUAGAUUAAGCCUUGGCACACGCCAGCCAUGGAAGGAGAUGGUCCAACUCCGGUCACUCUCCAUUCCGACCAACGCUACUGGAGCAUUCCAGAAAAUCCAGAACCCACGCUGCCUACUUUCGAAUAAACUACAUCAUCGUCAUUCUCUUCAUCUUCUUCAUCGCGGUAUCCAUUCAGAUCAAGCCUUGGCACACGCCAUCCAUGGAAGGAGAUGGUCCAACUUCGGUCACUCUCCAUUCCGACUAACGCUGCUGAAGCAUUCCAAAAAAUCCAGAACCCAUACUGCUUUCUUUCGAAUAAACUACAUCAUCGUCAUUCUCUUCAUCCUCUUCGCCACGGUAUCCAUACCCAUCCCCAAGUCCUUCACCAUAUACUCCGCAUAACCACUUGGUCUAACCUCUCCAUCAUCUUCUUCCCGAACAACUCCAUCGCUUUUGAUCCUGCACGCACUAACACUCUAUAUUGCGCCUCCAUCUCCACUACCAACCUGCACCAUUAUUCUUCCACUCAGUCGAAACGGCCCAUUGCACCACCCUCAUAAUCUCAUCUCGACACCACCAUGGAUGGUCAUCACCAUCCUCCAUCGGUCAAAGUCAAUCAUCGUUGUCAUACCUGUUGUGCACCAAUGUUCUCCUUCACCACUCUCAUCUUCACAACUCGCCACUUCCUUUUCCUAUCUUUAUUCUCGUCAACAUCACAAAAUCAUUCAUUUUCACCCUUUAGCCUCGUGCAAAUGCCCACAACAUAUCAUGCUCGCUUCAAUUCCGUCAUAAUCGAUAGCAUAAUUCCCAUCAUAGCCGGCCAUGAUCUCAUUCCAUUCAUUUACUCAUAUAAAUAAGAAAAAAUAAAAAAAUAAAAAAUAAAACAUACGAAGGACAUCAUUCAAAUCAUAGAAGACCAUAUAUUCACAUUCGUUUGCAUUUUGAAUCAAACAAAACAUUGUCGAAGAACACUAACCUUGCCUGAAGAAUGGUGUGGCAUGAUGAAGAUCCUUCCUCUUCUCAAUGGUGCGGUUCCUCUGGAAAAUCUCUUGAUGAUGAGGUUGCCUCUUCUCAAUCGUCCAUCUUCCCUCUUCUAUCCACUUUUUUCACUUUGUGCAGCUGUUCUAAAAAAAGAUCUCUCCAGCACACUUGCCAUCCUUCGCUACUCUUUCCGCUCAUUUUUCUUUCUUUUUUAGUGCUUUUCACAACCAUGGUAAUGGAAGGAACAACAGAAACAAUCCACCUUCCCCCUUUCGGAUCACCUUCCCUUUUAUCGUGUCUCUCUUUCAUUUUCUUUCUUAAUCCAUUCUCCAUCAUCUAGUUAGCUUAUCUGCAGCCACGGUGAUGGAAAAAAAAAUGGCAGAAAAGGUUUCCUUCUCCUCUUUCAAUUACUCUCCAUCCCCUCAAAUUUUCCUUUUUUUUCUUUGCUUUUCCUUUUCUCUCUUCUUCUCUUUCUUAAUUUUUUUCUUUUUAUAGGGCACGUGGGAUCCAUGCAAAACAAAUAAUAAAUAAAUAAAUAAAAAGAGAUAGGAAAAUAAAAAUACCAAUAAAAGAAAAUAAAGAUUAGAAUAAUAAAAAAAAACUUAUAACUAAAAAUUAAAAAUCCAUAAUAUGCAAUUUUAAAGGAAAUUAAAAAUAUAGAUCACAUGCAAAACUAAAAUGAAUUAUCAACUCAAACAACUUUCUAUCAAAACAAAUUAAUAAAUGGAUAAAUAAAAACAAAAUGAAUAUGAUUAUUAAGCUCAUGUAAUUUCCUAAAAGUAAAUAAAUAAAUGAACAAAACUAAUAAAUUGGGAGAGAUAAAAAAACAAAAAACAAAAUCAAGCACCUACAAGCCGUACGAGCCAUCUAUCCAUGCAAAAAAUAAUUUGAAUGUGCCUAAGUCUAAACUAGGGCUACCAAGAGUCACAAUGGAGUUAGAUAAUUCCCUCAACCAAAGUCCCCAAGGUGACUUAGAAAAGAUAGGCUACACGAGUAGUAAUGGGCAGCCAGGGAACUGUUGUAAAAUACUAGACAAAUACCUUAUAAGACAUUUGUUAAGAUGACAAAAUGAAGGGUCUACAAAUAUGCUCCUCUUCGGUAGAGAUCACGAGUAUAGGGAAUGUGAGUAAAAAUACAAAUAAUGAGCGAAACGAAGUAAACUAUACUGAAAACCUAAAAGAAAAGGACCAGAGAUUUUGUCCUAGCACAUGACGAGAGAAAGCUCGGAACACGAGGUCAUAAUCACAAAAAUGGAACAACUUUAGGCUGUGAACGCAAGACUCUAUGUAGAGAGAAAUGACUUUGGGUCGUGAGCUCAAGGCUCUACUAAAUAGAAAAUAAAUGACUUUGGGUCGAGAGCUCUGGGCUCUAAAUGGAAAAGAUAUGACUCUAGGUCAUAAAUGAAAAUAAUGGUGGCUCUAAACGCCUACGAAAAUUAUGGCUUUGAAUGCCUAUGAAAAUGAUGGCUCUAAAUACCUAUGGAAAUGGUGGUGGCUCUGAACGCCUAUGAAAAUGGUGGCUUUAAACACCUAUGAAAAUGGUGAGUUUGAACGCCUAUGAAAAUGGUGGCUCUCAACGCCUUUGAAAAUGGUGGCUCUCAACGCCUAUGAAAAUGAUGGCUCUGAAUGCCUAUGAACAUGAUGGUCGUUCUGAACGCCUCUGAAAAUGGUGGCUCUAAACGCCUAUGAAAAUGGUGGCUCUGAAUGCCUAUGAAAAUGGUGGCUUUGAACACUUAUGAAAAUGGUGGCUCUGAAUGCUUAUGAAAAUGGUGGCUCUGAGCGCCUAUGAAAAUGAUGACUUUGAACGCCUAUGAAAAUGGUGGCUUUGAAGGCCUAUGGAAAUGAUGGCUCUGAACGCCUAUGAAAAUGGGGAUGGCUAUUCAGGCUUAUGAAAAUGAGGGUGGCUCGUUCGCCUAUGAAAAUGGUGGCUCUGAACGCUUAGUUGUGAGAGAAUGAUGAGGGGAAAAAUGCCUCAGUGUGGUGUGUCAUCACAAAUCUCGAUCCACUUAAAGGGUCUAAAAGAGACUCCAUGAGUCUCAAAAGAUGCUCUGUCGAUGAGUCAGAAUGUUCAAAUCAACUAUAAAAUAACGUCUCACAAUCCGUCUGACUAAAUCGAGGCCUGACAAAGUGUCCUAAUAAUCUGGAUAUCUCUAACUCGAGAUACCUUGUUGGAGGAAUCUGUCGUCAUAUCAAAGGAACGACCCACUGGCGGGUCUCAAGAAAAAUGGUCCAUUGGGGUAAUUGUCACUACCUCAACAUAAUGAUCGAUUGAAAAGUCAUAGGUAAUGAGACAGUCAAAACCUAAAGGUCGGGCUCCUUUGAAGACUCAUCUUGGCAUAAAUCAUCGAUAUUGUAACCAAUAAUGCGAAUAAAUAUCCCUCGGCUGAAUAAAGAAAACGGUAAUAGCUCCGUGAGAAGACGAUCAUCUCCACAACAGAAAAGGGGAAUAUGCCCCAGUAUAGCAACUGAUGCAUCUUGCCAUGUGGGUAACCGAGGAAAAUAUGCCCCAGUAUAGCAACUAGUACAUCUGGUCUGUCCUGAUGACUCGAGAAUAACUUAAUGGGGAUGUAUAAGAGAUCUGACAUGUGCUCCACUGAAAUGAUGAUAUGGGAGUCUAUGCACUUGAGACAACUCCAUCAAAGAAUCACGACAAUAUCAGAAAGUAUGAGCUUGGCUGAAUGACUCAAGAAAGACUUCACUAGGGAAUAAUCGUAAAAUAAAAUAAAAUCAUCAACUCGACAUGUAUCUCAUAAAUGAGGAUAAUCAUGCAAAUCAAUGUAGAUUUACAAAUCUCAAUCAAAACGAAAAUAUGCCCUAGUAUGGCACAGAUGUGUGGUAGGUCGAAAAAAAAAAAAAAAGAUGACUCCGAAUCAUCCAUCACCAAGUGUGUAAUCCUAGUCAUCCAUGUCCAUAGGUGAAUCAGAUCCACAUAUCAAAAGGUGUCUCUCAGAAGAAGAAGCAUAAGAACAUCUAAAUAUAAAAAAGUGUGGGCAUGAUUGAAUGGCCUAAAAGAGGCCCCACUAGGGGAUCAUGAUAAGUUAACAAACAGGUCAUCGUCUUGGUGUGUAUCUCGUAAGUGGAGAUUAUCAUGCAACUCCAUGAAGAUCUAUAAAUCUUAAUCGAAAGGGAAAUAUGCCUCAGUAUGGCAUAUGAUGUAUGGUAGAUCAAAAAAAUUAGACGACAUCGGAUCAUCCAUCAUCAAAUAUGCAAUCUCAAUCAUCCAUAUCCACAAUUGAAUCGAGUCCAUUCAUCAGAGAAAUGUCUCCCGGAAGAAGAAGCAUGAUGAUAUCUAAAUAUCAACCAAAUCUCAAACACCUGUCCAAGUAGAGGCUGUCGAAGACGACAUUUGAUCUCAUGGCCUCAGGGUGGUCUUAAAACACGGGACGUAAAUUAGGCUAGGGCGAUACGGUAAUAGAAAUGAAGGGAAACUAGGCCCAAAUACCCAAUAAUAAAAAACCCAUGCCCUUGUGUAUAAAAUGCGACAUGUAUAAAAUAACUCAUGAGCCAUGAACCGAGGUAACCAAGGGAAAUGUCAUGGAACAAGAAAAAAUGAUAAGUAUUCAAACUAUCAAUGAAAUGUGUGAAUGAUGUGUAGAAAGUAUCGAACCAGAAAUGUGUCAAUAUGAGGAAAUGGAUAAAAGGUGUAAGGCAGAUCUGGAAGGAGGUGAUGGGAUACAAAAUAAAGCAAUGAGAAAGUAGAAUGAAUGAUGAUCAACCCAUAUCAGUACAAUAAAGGAAAGUCAUAUCACCAAUGAUGGAAUGGUGGGUGAGACGAUGAUCUGGAGACCCUAGUAAAAGGUCACUCAUCUCUCAUAUGUUACUCAUCUCUCAUACCUAAUACAUAUCAACCUUGAUCCAAGAAGCAUAGGAUCUCAUAGAACUCUCACAUGAACCUUCGACACUCCGAAUGCAUAAUGAAAGUGACUCAAAGAGAGAAAUGUCCUCAUGGAAAACUCGCGCAAACCCUUAAUGAUAAACUCGAUAAACCCUUAAAUAACAACACAUGCUCAAUGGAGUAGGAUGCCAAGUACAAACAUAUCAUUGCACUUUUUUUUUUUUUUUUUGUGGCCAUACCCUAGUCAUCAAUAAAUCUUACUCCAAUGAGAAACUAAAAGGAAUGAAUAAACUCCCUCAAAUUACUAACGAACACAUGAAACCACAUCCUAUGAGAUAAACCCUCAAGCUAAAAUCUCUAAGUCAAUGUAAAAUGAUGGAAUGAAAGGGGUGAUAUGACUACCCUCUAUACAUUAAUAUGUGAAGAAUCAACAUUCCAAGUGAAGAAAGUAUGAAGUGUAACGACCAGUAAUGAAAUCCAAGAUAGAGAUGAAAAUGUGAAAAUAUUGGAACGUAACAGAUGGGGUGGUGAGGUGAUAAUAGAAAAGAUGAGAAAGAUAAGCCUAAAAGUCAAAAGCUCAUGAGACUCUCCUAGCAAAGCAUAACUAUACAUUAAAGGGCCCCAACCCGGGUGUAGAAAUGAUAAGCAAGGUUAUAGAAAAGAAAAGGUUAUAGCAUACCACGUGAGGCUCAAUGGGCUUGCAACGGUCUAAUAUACUAAUAAAUGUGAUAAGGUGUAAGGCUGAUCGAAAUGAUGGCCACCCAUCCUACGACCAUAAUCUCAAAUGUAAUACUUCUUUAGCUAAUCCACAUUGAUGGGCUCUGAAAACUGGUUUUCAUCUAAGUCGGUCAACCAUGCAACCCCUUCUGAAGUCAACUCUCAAAUAACAUAAGGCCCACUCCAACUAGGUCUGAACUUCCCUCUAGGGUCUCUAACUAAGCCUCUAAGAAUCCUCAAAACCAAAUUCCUUUUCUAUAAUGGUCUAGGCUUAACCUGUUUCCUAAAAGCACGUGCCAUCUUUCUUUGAUAGGCCUGAACAUGAUCCGCUGCUCUCAAUCUCUUCUCAUCUAAAAGGUUAAGCUAAUCAAAUCUAGCUUGAGCCCACUCUGUCUCAGAAAUCUGCUGCUCGAGAGCUACUUUCAAUGAACUCAUCUCUGUCUCAACUGGCAAAAUAGCCUCCAUACCAUAUACCAAAUAAUAAGGCAUAGCUCCUGUAGGGUGCGAAAAGAGGUACGAUAUGCCCACAAUGCAAAAUGGAGUUUCUCUAACCAAUCUCGAGAGGUUUCAACCAUCUUCCUCAAAAUCUUCUUAAUGUUUUAAUUUGCGGCUUCUGCUUUCCCAUUAGUUUGUGGCCUAUAUGCAAAAGAUCUAUGAUGUCGGAUGCCAAAUUUCUGUAACAAAGUGUGAACCUCAGCUUGAAAGUGUACUCUUCUGUAAGAAAAUCAACUCAUGUGGCACCCCAUAGCGACAAAUAAUGUGUGAUAUGAUGAAACUGGCAACUCUAGCAGAUGUCAACCUCGUAUAUGAUGCAGCUUCCACCCACUUGGUGAAAUAAUCUAUGGCAACUAGGAUAAACUCAUGACCACUAGAAGAUUUUAGUGAAAUCUUCCCAAUAAUAUCAAUACGCCGUACUGAAAACGACCAUGGUGAGGUCAAAACGUGUAACUUUGAUGGUGGUGCAUGAAUAAGAUCACCAUGAAUCUGACACUUUGGACAUCUCUGAACAAACUAAUAACAAUCUGUCCCCAUAGUCAUCCAAAAGCAACAUGUCCUCAUAAUCUUACGGGCUAGCAUGUGUCCUCCCAUGUGUAGGCCACAAACUCCCGCAUGAACCUCUCUCAUCACUCGAUCUGUAGAGGCUCGAUCUAAACAUAAUAAAUACAUACCAUCAGUUGAUCGCCUUUAUAGAGUCUCUUUGCAAAUCACAAAUCUAGUGGCCAUCUACCUCAAUGCCCUUCGAUCUUUGGCUAUGACGGCCUCUGGGUAUGUGUUAGAUCUAAGAAAUCGAUAUAUGUCAUGAUAUCAUCUUGGACUUUUGUCUCUCCAAUAAGACAAUAGUAAGUGGGUGACCACCUCGACUCAAUCAACAAUGGACGUAUAAUCACAUCGGUCGGAAUGUCCACGGAAGAAGCUAAGGUAGCUAAGGCAUCAACAAACCGGUUUUGUGCUCUAGGUAGACGAGUGUAUCUUAAAUCAUCAAAUCUCCUAACCAGUAACUCUAAAUAAGCAUGAUACGAUCUAAGAUUUACGUCCCUGGUUCUCCAAUCACCUUGAAUCUGUCUGAGUACCAAAUUAGAGUCACUGAAUACCUCCAUCUGUCUAAUGCCAAGCUCCAAUGCAGUCUCUAGACCAAGGAUACAAGCUUCAUACUCAACUAUGUUGUUCGCGACGGGAUGUUGAUUUGAAAACGCAAAGCGAACUAACCUCGGAAUAUGAUCACCUUGGGGGGAUAUCAACAAAACGCCUAUCCCAAACCCUGAUUGGUUGGUUGCACCAUCAAAGUACAUGCGCCAACCUGAUAAGCUAGUCAUAGGAAUGAACUCGUCAUCUAGGAAAACAUCAUCAACUGGUCUACCCUUAGAUAUCAGUAAUAAGGCUAAGUGAUCGACGACAAUGCUUUCCUUGAUAGACUUCUGAGAAACAUACUGAAUAUCAAACUCUGUCAAAAGUAUGAGCCAUCUCAUCAAUCUACCAGUCAAUGCAGGUCUGUCAAACAAAUACCUCAAUGGAUCUAGUCGAGAAAUCAAACACACUGAAUACUCAGUCAGGUAAUGCCUCAAUCUCCUGGUGGUCCAAACUAAUGCUAAGCAGAGGCGCUCAAUCAUAACAUAUCUCAUCUCAUACUCUAGUAUUCUCUUACUCAGAUAGUAAAUAGCUCGCUCCCUCCCUGAAUCAUUAAGCUGAGCUAGCAUACAUCCCAAGGUCAUGUCUGAAACUUACAAAUACAAAAUAAGUGGGCAUCCAGGCAUAGGAGGCACUAAAAUAGGAGGAGAAAGCAAGUAGUCCUUGAUCUUCUCGAAUGCAAUCUGGUAAUCAUCAUUCUAAAUUGUUGGUUGAUUCUUUAUCAAAAGAUGAAAAAUGGGCUCACAUAUGUUUGUCAAUCUGGCUAUGAAACGACUAAUGUACUAUAACCUGCCCAAAAAACCCUUGAUCUCUUUCUCAGUCCUUGACAUAGGCAUGUCAAGUAUGGCUUUGAUCUUAUCUGGGUCAACCUCUAUACCCCACUCACUGACCAUAUGCCCCAACAAUUUCCCAGAAGUCACUCCAAAGGUGCAUUUUUUGGGGUUUACCCUCAACCUGAAUUUUUGAAUCCCCUUAAAGAAUCCCUCUAGAGCCAUUAGGUGAUAUGCUUAACCUCGGGAUUUCACAAUCAUAUCAUCCACAUAAACUUCCACAUCCCUAUGUAUCAUGUCAUGAAACAAAGUGGUAGCGGCUCUCUGAUAAGUAGCUCAUACUUUCUUCAACCCAAAUGGCAUAACUCUAUAACAGUAGCUACCCCACUCGGUAAUGAAGGUUGUCUUCUCCAUCCAUGAAAGACAACAGCGAAUAGCCUACAGUGCUAUCGACCAACAAAUAGAUAUGUGGGAGAGGAAAAUCAUCCUUAGGGCUGGCUUUAUUAAGGUCUUUGAAAUCGACACAAACUCUAACCUUGCCAUCCUUUUUGGGAAUUGGGACGACAUUAGCCAACCACUCUGGAUACUCAACCAUUGAUAUAAAUCCAACAUUGAGUUGUUUCUGAAUUUCCUCUUUCACCUAUAGACUCCAACGUGGGUGCAAUCGCCUCAGUUUCUACUUAACGAGUCUUACAUGUGGUAAGAUAGGCAGAUGGUGCUGGACUAUAGAGGGAUCCAAACCUGGCAUGUCCUCAUAAGACCACACAAAAACAUCCAAGUAUGACCUGAGUAAAUGAAUAAGUCUAUCCCUCUCAUCUAUAAACAGAGGUGAACAAUCUUUAGCUCUCUAGGUUGAUCCUUUGUGCCAAAAUCAAUAGUCUUAACAUCCCUUGUAGCAGGUGAGACUUUCUCAUCUAUAGGAUCUGAGUCAUGAUAAGAAGAGUCUCUAUUUGAAUUAGGUUUCACGAUCUCAUCAUCUAUAUCAAGUAUUUGUGGAGUGGGUGAGUGGGGUGCAGAUAAACAAAUACUAUCACAAAAGACAGGCAAAUACUCGAAAAAUACUCAAAUCUAUAGAUACGAAAUCAUAAACAUUGUCUGAGUGGGAAAUGAAUCCCAAUAAAAUGUCAAAUGAAAGAGGUGGGUUCACAAAGUUGGACGUUCCCUCAAUAAAUCCAAAAGUGUCCUCAAACUCAUCAUCACUAACUGUAACAUCCUCUAUAAGCUCUGGAGCAAGAACUGUCUGGAUAUCCUCAACAAUCUCGAUAGCAGACACCCCAAACAAAUCGAAUGAUGAAGCAGGCUCAUGUUGAACCAUCUUGGCAAUCUGACUCAUACUCAUGUCCAUCUCAUCUCAAUACUCGUCAUGAGGAACAACUCCAUCAGUCACCCCAAUAGGCUCAAUGUUUACUCCAUAAUUAGUAGUCUCAUUUGGAAAGCACAAUGAUAAGAAGCUGGCUCGAUCUGGUGAUGAAGGAGCAAUCAUCACUGAAACUAGUGCGUCAAAAGUCUCAUCUCCUAACUGUAAAUGGUGAAAUUGAUGUUGAAGCUCAUCCACUCCCUCUAUAUUAGUCACAUCGCUAAAAUCCCCCAUAUGAGGAUGAACCUCUGAUCCUCUGAUGUAGUAAUCUGCCAAGCUCAUCCUAUAAGAUGAACAGGAUAAUCAAAUGAUGUGCAAGUUUAACGGGCUCUCACUCUCUCUUGGUGCAAAUGCGCCAUAUACCUAUAGUUAGCCUCUAUAGGAACAAACCCAAGCCCAAAUGGUGUAUCAUGAUGGACAGUAGCCACAAACUCCAUAGGCUUGUGCUGACGUCAUCCCAACCCCGAACUAGGUAUAAAAGACAUACCCCUCAUCAUGUCGAGUACCACCAUACUACUAUGUUGAUCAAAUGACAUAGUUACGAGAUCUCUGCAGAAGUCCCCAACCUCAAGAGUCUGCACCUUAUCAAAUGUAAACCCGAUAAAAAAUAGGUCAUCCUUACUAUGAUUGAUCUGAAGCAUCGGCUCGGAGGAGGCAAACAUAUCUUUAGGAAACUGUACUACGAUGACUUGCCUAUCAUGUAUAAACUUCACCUUCUAAUGAAGGGGAGAUGGAAUAGCCCCGACCCUAUGAAUCCAAGGUCAGCCCAAAAGUAGGUUAAAGGAUGUGGGAAUCCUCAAAACCUGGAAUAAUUUAGGGAAUGUAGUCAGACCAAUCAACAACUCUAUCAUCAAAGUACCCAUGACCUCACUCUUAGUACUGUCAUAUGCUCUAACCGUCUGUGUAGAGGGACCAAAGUCUAAAGGUGCAUAGCCAAGGGCGAUAGCAGUAGCCAAUGGGCAGACGUUCAAGGCUGAGCCAUUGUCCAACGGGACAGAUGGAACUUUGUGGCCUGAACAACCAACUGUAAUAUAUAGAGGGCGUGCAUGGUUUGAAUCCUCUGGUGGCAAGUCAUCAUCUGAAAACACAAUACAUGUGGCCUUGUCGGCCGUCAUCAUAUGAAUCAACCCCUCCGGGGUAGUGGUGGUCUCCACGAGAAUCUGGCUCAAAGCUCGAAUCAAUGCAUCUCUAUGAGCACUAGAAGAUGCUAGCAAACUCCAUAUAGAUAUGCAGGCCUGUGUACUCUGUAACUGCCUCAGUAUCUCAUCAUCCUCUCUCCUGACCUCCUCAUGAGAGACAACACCAUCAAAUGGACUGGCUACUAGAGGUGAGGCCUGAUCUACUCUCCCACUAUGGGUUAUAAUUUGUACAUCUCUCCCCUCUAAAUCGUCAUCAUCUGGCUGUAGGAUAAAUGAGACGAAUGGGCCCUGACGUGUCGUAGCCAACGGUGCAGUAGGAGUCAACUCAAACGGUACCCAAUCUGAAAUCAAACUGAAUGGAGUAGAAGUUUGAGAACCCACUGUGUCAACCUCAUAACCAUCAUCUAAAAAAAUCGGCUCUGGAGAUCCAUCAUCCCAACUCAUCAUGUGUAUGCUGUCAUCUUCUAAAAAAUCUAUGUGAUGGAUACCGCUCGGGAGUGGUGGCAUUACAUGCGUAGAGUGAGCUGGUAGAGGGUUCGUGGUUAGACUUGGUUGCCCCAAGUUAACCAAACCCUGGUCUAUCAAGUCUUGCAUAGCACGUCUUAGAGUUGAGCAGCAAUCAGUGUCAUGUCUUGGACUCUGAUGGUAAGCAUAGUGAACGUCCAUCUUGAACUGAGGUGGCACGGACUGGGGUACAGGCCUAGGAGCUAACUGAGUCAUCAAACUACCCUCCAUGAGCUUUUGGAAAGCUCAAAUCAAGGGCAUACCUAGCUGAGAGAACUAUCGUAUCGGCCUCUGUGCACAAGGAAUAGCAGUCCGUGGAGCUCGGCGCUGAGGGUGUAAGGUAGGAGGUCUCUCUAAGACUUGUGUAGCAAAAUAGGCUUUGGGGUUGGAUGUAGUUAUGUAGGAGUCAUAGGCCUGGGCGGUCUAUACUGAACAUAACGCUGUGGGUAAUAGGCUCCUGAAGUCUGCCCAAAUGUCUGAUAGCGCCUGGGAGAUCUCGAUCCUGCUGAACUGAUAGUACCCACAUCUCCAAGUCUCUAUCCUCUUAAGGGCUUCUUUCCUUUUGAGUCAGAAGGGGAAGACUUGGGCCACAAUCCUCUAGCACUGUCCUCCUCUAUACUGUAUAGAGCCUAUACCAGGGAUCUAAAAUCUGUGUGAGGAAAUCUUAUCAAAUGUCUGGCAAAUUUGGGUUGUAAGAUCCUCAAAAUCAUACUAAUAUGGUCAUUCUAUGAAGGACGAUCAAUAAUCUAUGCAAUAUUCUCCCUCCAUCGAGAGAUAAACGAAGUCACCGACAGCUCCAGUCCCUGUCUUAAGGCCUCUAGCUCUCUCCUUGAGACUAUAAUGACAAUGUUAAAAGCAAACUGUCUCAAAAACUCUUGGGCCAAAUCAUUCCAAGUCCUAUGGCGUGAAGCAUCUAAAGAAGUAAACUAAUGCUAUGCUACACCACUCAAGGACAUGGGAAAAAGCAUAAUCAAGUGGGUCUUAUCCAACCUGUGGGCCCUUAUCACAGUAUUGUAUAGCCUCAAAUGAAUCUUGGGGUAACCUAUGCCCAUAUACCUCUUAAUCUCUGGCAUCCUGAAAUGGGACGGUAAAUUGGCCACCGGUGCUCCAUCAAAGUCAUUCCAACUGAUAGCUCCAUCUAAAACCCUCAUCUGUCUUAUCUUCUGCUCAAGUCUAUCCAUACGAGCAUGUGCAUCCUUUGAGGUUUGAAUGGGUGCUAUGACAAAAAGUGGGGUAGCAUCAAUUUGACUAUGUAAAACAUACGGUGCAGGGUGUGGAACCAACUGACUGAGUGAAGGAGGUGGUGGCGCCGCAGAGUCAUACUGUGCGCUAUCCUAAGGCGGGGCUUGCUACCCAUCUAUCUUUUGGCCGAGGCCGAUUAUAGCCUCCUGAAUCGAAGCCAUGGCUAUGACAAACUGGUCAACAGUGACUACCUGGGAGUCCAUAUCUCUCUGAUCUACUCUCUGGUUUGGCUGAUCUUAUACUCUAGUCUACCUGCCUCUAACUCUAGUCCAUGAAGGUGAAUCCAUACUAGGCACCAAAAUUACUCUUAAAAACACGGAAACAUUAGAUGAGAAGUUGUACAAGGGUAGCUCUAUAGGAACCGACUAAAAGGUAAUCAAGCAUAGAGCCCAUGUAUACUCAAAUUGAUACUCGUAUUUGAUCAUACCAAAAUGAAACUAUGGAGAGGGUUACCAAACCCAAUUGUAACCAAAGCAGCUCUGAAGGUCCACAAAUGCACCCACGUGUAGGAAUGAAAUCCUAAUUGGGUCUAGGUUAACCUACAAGGUUGAGGUGGUUCUAUAAGAUAAAAAUGGGUGAGUUAAAGGAUCCCUAGCAGAAGCGAUCGUACCCUCUACCGAUACGCAACCCUUUGCACGCCUCCAAGGAGACGGGGUGCUUCCAUGCAAGGUGGUCAUCACCUCCACACAUGCACUUCUUCGCGUUCCUAGGGGGUUUCUUAAUGGUCAAGGCUCUCCCAUCUCUCAGCGCUUUGGGAUAAUCUAAGGUGCACGGUGAAGGAUGUGGGUACAUUCGAAACACCUAAGGUCUAAAGUGAGAUAGUGAACAAAGACAAGCAAUCAUGCAAUCAUACAAGAGAGAGGGUUGUCAUGCGACAAGCAAUCAUGCGAAACAGAGAAAUAUCAAACAAUCAAAGUCCUAUGUAACAAAUGUGAGAGUGAAUCAUGCUGAAGUGAGCAAACAAUCAGGUGAUCAUGCAAGAUAAACAAGUAUAAAGACAUGUUAAGAUAGCAAACCAAUCAAGCAAGCAAACCAAAUCACAUUGCCUAAAAAAAGGAGGUACCCUCUAAUCGACCAAUUAAACGCCAUAUUUUCCUCAACUAGUGUUCAAGCUUGAUCCUUAAAAUCCCUAGUGGAGUCGCCAAUUUGUGGACCUGUAUUUUUCAUGUGUUCCUCUACUCGGUCGACGAGACUUGCUUUUAUUUGUGAAAUAUUAUUUUUGAAAAAUUCGGAGUCACCACUUAUUUUAUUUUAAAGGGAAAAUAAAAUAAGAAAUAAAACCCUAAAAAAAAUGACUCCACAUUUUUGGAAAAGCAUGUCUUGAAAAACCCGAGUCUAGGUCCAGGGAUUAGGUUACCUAUUGGGAAAGUACCUCUAAAAGGUAGUACCCCUCUAAGCCCUACAAAGGUCUCUACUGACUAAGUUAAGGGAAAUGUGGCAAUUAAUUUAUUAAUUGAGGAUACCUAGGUAGACUAAGGUGAUUUAAAAAAAAAAAAGCAUGCCAAACAAGAUCAAAUCACAAUAAAGGAGAGUUAGGAUGCAUACCCGAAUCGCUUCUCAAGCGCUAUCAUAAAAUAUCAGAGUUAGUAUAGAUAUAUAACACACGACAUGUAUUCAAUCAUAGCAAAUCAAGCAUACAUCCAAGCACCUAAGGAUCAUAUCAAGCAUAAAUAAGGCUCACAACAACAUGCAUGUUCAUGAAAUCCCGAAAAGUAAAGAUAGAGAGCGUACCUAGAUAGCAUGCAUAAUUGAUAAGAUUCUUCCAAAAAUGUUAGAAUGGUUAGGACAAGUAUAAAUUAUAUAACAUCUCUAUUAUAUCUAAUAUACAGUACCAAAUCCAAAAGUUAACCAAGGUAAGUCAAAUGACUCCAAAAGCAGAUAACAAAUUCAAGCAAGUAUUGAGUCAUCAGCAUGCAUAUAGUAAAGGGAGCAUCACAAAACAAUUGCUAAAAAAAUGCCUUGCAGUGGAAUUUAAUCACAAAAAAUUUCAGAAAGCAACUCCUACAUAUCUAGAACAAGAUACCAAAAUCCAAACACUCAUUCAAAUGACAAAUUGUAGUGAAGACACCCUAAAGUUCCAGAAGGUCCGGAUUAGGUAAAAAGAAAAUAGUGACAUGCAUAAAUGAUUUUUUUAAAGAAUUAUAAGACAUCAAAGAAAUUUGUAAAAAAAAAUAAAAUACAUCAUUCAAGGUGUCUAUAUCACAAGGAAAAUAAAUUAAGGGUCGGGUAGUACUCAAAAAUAUUUUUAAAACACUCAAGCUUAUCAGAUGUCCAGAUUCCAUCAUGCACAGUAGGUACAACUUUGAAAAAUCAUAUCUCCCUCAACAAGGCAUAUUUUUUAAUAUUUUAUGUGUCUAAGAUCAAUUUAAAGAAGCCUAGAAUUGAGGAAAAAUAUUGAAUCAAAUUUAAAAAGUUUUUUGUUAUUUGAUUUUUUCAAAAAGAUCUCGGGUCCAGAACUAGAUGAAAACAGAGCCCCCCUAAAGACUUGUUCAUAUCUUCUAUUCUAGAAUGGCUUUCCAACUCAAAUGAAACUUUAAAUUCAAGUUCAAGAAGUGAGAAAAGUCAUACAAGUUUUGGAAAACUUUUAAAAACAUUCUAAAGUUGCUAAAAUGAAUUUUAAAUCUAAAGGGUCAGUGGCUGAGUGAAAACUGGUAGCAAGGAAGAGUUUUGAAAAAAUUUCUUAUGUAGGGGUUUCACCAAUUCCCCAAUUGAUAUACACAAAUCCAACCUAGAAUCAUCCCACUUGUUUGGGACCACAACCCUGAAUUUGUAUUCCGUUAAAAACCAGGAUUUUUAUUUGAAAACUGAGAAAGAUGCAAACUGAUCAAAACAUGGUUGCAUAUUUUUAAAGAAAAUGGGAUUUUGAUUCUAAAGACUCUAAAUGAAUUAUUUUUAGCACAAGAUUUUCAAAGGUAUCUUUUGAGAAAAGCAUUUGACUUUAAAAUAAAGGGAAUUAGUAUGAAAACAACAAAACAUAAGAAAUGAAAUACCGAUCAAAAUAGAAGAAAAUGAAUUCACAAAGUGAAAUUUUUUACAAUCCGAGUAAACCAAAGUGGUGAGAAUGGAGGCCAAUCUUCACUUUUUUUUUUAUUUUUUAUGACCUAUGAAAAUAAAAGUAAAGAUAAAAUUAUUAUAGCAACCUACCAGAGAUGUUUAGAUCAAGUAAACUAACAUUUUAACAAAUCCAACUUUUAAUUUUCCACCAAAAAUUACAUGCUAACGUUUUAAAAAAUCUAACUUUCAUUCUAUUACUAAGGACUAUGGAAAACAAGUGUCUAAAGAAAUUCUAUCUUUUAAAUGAUCACCAAGAAUAAAUAAAAAAAAUAAAGACUUCAAGAAAAUCUUAAACUAGCAUAGAUAAUCAAGAACUAAUUGUUGGAAUUUUAAAUGCAUCUAAACUUAAGAUAAAUCAAUCAAGCGCUUAGAAAUGAGUUUUAAAAUGAAACUAAUAAUACAGGAUAUUCACAAUUAUCAACUUAGUUUCAAAGAAAUAGUAAACGUCAUCGGGAUCACCAAAACAACAUCUAAUAAUCUAAAGAACAACAUAUAAUGGCAUAGAUCAUAAAAAAACAGUAACUUAUUGCUUAGAAUCGAAUGUAAAUUAACAUGGGUUUUUAAAAUUAACUGCUAAGGAUUCAGGGAAUAAACGAAACAUCAUGGAUCAAUAUAGAAAAGAAUUCAUAGGUAUGCACUAAGGGGACCGAAAGAUUUCAUGAGUGUUGAUUUAAAAAAAAACAGUUGAUUCCUAAUUCAAUAGUUCUAAUGAAUUUUAUUUAUAAAAGAAUGUUUUGAUUAGUUUAAAUAAUAAGAAUAAAAAUGCUUUAAUUUCAUUUAAGGAAAAUACUUUUAAAAAGUUUAUUUACACGAAAAUAAAUGUUAUUACUUUUGUAAAAGAAAUAUUUCAUGAGUAUUAAAAAAAUAAUUGAUUUCCAAUGCAAUAGUUUUAAUGAAUUUUAUUUAUAAAAGGAAGUUUUGAUUAAUUUAAAUAAAAAAAGGCUUUAAUUUCAUUUAAGGAAAAUACUUUUAAAAGUUUAUUUACAAAAAAUACCAUAAUUCUAUUUUAUUUAAAAAGGAAAAAAAAAUUCAUAGGAAAGAAAUCAACAAAAAUAAUCAUAAUAAUAAAUUUUAUCUAUAACAAUAAUAAUAAUAAUAAUAAUAAUAAUAAAACCUCAUAAAAAAAUUAUCUCGCCAUUUUUAAAAAUAUUUUAUAAAUGUGAAAAAAAUAUCUUUUAUAAUUUUAUUUAAAUUGUGUACGAUAUUUAGAAGGAGAUAGGAUUGUAAAGUAUUGGAAUAGGAUUUUUUUUUUUUAAAAAAAGGAAAAUAUUUCAUGGAGGAUGAUUGGAAAAUCUUCAUCUUCUUCGCGAUCAGGCCUUGGCACAUGUCAGCCAUGGAAGGAGAUGGUCCAACUCCGAUCACUCUCCAUUUCGGCUAACUCUGCUGAAGCAUUCCAGAAAAUCCAGAACCCACGCUGCCUACUUUCGGAUAAACUACAUCAUCGUCAUUCUCUUCAUCCUCUUCGCCGUGGUAUCCAUACCCAUCCCCAAGUCCUUCACCAUAUACUCCGCAUAACCACCUGGUCUAACCUCUCCAUCAUCCUCCUCCUGAGCAAUUCCAUUGCUUCCGACCCUGCAUGCCCUAACGCUCUAUAUUGCGCCUCCAUUUCCACUGCCAGCCUGCACCAUUAUUCUUCCACUCUGUCAAAACGGCCCAUUGCACCACCCUCAUAAUCUCAUCCAACAUCAUCAUGGAUGGUCAUCAACAUCCUCCAUCGUUCAAAGUCACUCAUCGUUUCCAUACCUGUUAUGCACCAAUGUUCUCAUUCACCACAUCUUCACAACUCGCCACUUCCUUUUCCUAUCUUUAUUCUUGUCAACAUCACAAAAUCAUUCAUUUUCACCUUGUAGCCGCGCGUAGCCACCCACAACAUCUCGUGGCCGCUUCAAUUCCCUCAUAACAGAUAACAUAAUUCCCAUCAUAGUCGGUUAUGAUCUCAUUCCAUUGAUUUAAUCAUAUAAAUAAAAAAAAUAAAAAAAAAUAAAAAAUAAAACAUGCAAGGACAUCAUUCAAAUCAUAGCGGACCAUAUAUUCACAUUAGUGUGCAUUUUGAAUCCAACAAAAUGAAGUCGAAGAACACUAACCUUGCCUAAAGAAUGGUGCAGCAGGAUGAAGAUCCUUCCUCUUCUCAAUGGUGCGGUUCCUCCGGAAAAUCUCUUGAUGAAGGGAAAAUCUCUUGAUGAAGUGGUUGCCUUUUCUCAAUCGUCCAUCUUCCCUCUUCUAUCCACUUCUUUCACUUCGUGCGGUAGUUUUAAAAAAUAAAAAUAAAAUCUCUCUAGCACAUUGGCCAUCCUUCACUACUCUCUAUCCUCAUUUUUCUUUCUUUUUUAGUGCUUUUCACAACCACAGUAAUGGAAGGAACAACAGAAAUAGUCCACCUUCUCCCUUUCGGAUCAUCCUCCCUUUAAUUGUGCCUCCUUUUCCUUUUCUUUCUUAAUCUAUUCUCCAUCAUCUAGUCAACUUCUCUACAGCCACGGUGGGAAAAAAAACGGCAGAAAAGGUUUCCUUCUCCUCUUCCAAUUACCCUCCAUCCCCUCCAAUUUUCCUUUUUUUUCUUUGCCUUUCCUUUUCUCUCUUCUUCUCUUUCUUAAUCUUUUCUUAUUAUAGGCACGUGGGAUCCAUGCAAAACAAAUAAUAAAUAAAUAAAAAAUAGGAAAAUAAAAAUACAAAUAAAAGAAAAUAAAGAUUAGAAUAAUAAUAAAUAAAAAACGUGUAACUAAGAAUUAAAAAUCCAAAAUAUGCAAUUUUAAACGAAAUUAAAAAUAUAGAUCACAUGCAAAACUAAAAUGAAUCAUCAACUCAAGCGACUUUUUAUCAAAACAAAUUAUUAAAUAGAUAAAGAAAAAAAAUAAAUAUGAUUAUUAAGUUCAUGCAAUUUCCUAAAAAUAAAUAAAUAAAUAUAUGAAUAAACUAAUAAAUUGGGAGAAAUAAAAAACAAAAAAACAAAAUCAAGCACUUGCAAGCCGUACGAACCAUGCAACCAUGCAAGCCAUACAAAAAAUAAUAUGAACUUUCCUAAGGUGCCUAAGUGGGCCUAGGGUGGUGCUUAAUGGGCCUAAGAUGCCUAAGUGGGCCUGAGGUGUUUAAGUGAUCAUAAGGUGCCUAAGUGGGCCUAGUGUGCCUAAAUGGGUCUAAGUCUAAACUAGGGCUUCCAAGAAUCACAAUGGAGUUAGAUAAAUCCCUUAACCAAAGUCCCCAAGGUGGCUUAGAAAAGAUAGACUACAUGAGUAGUAAUGGGCUGCCAUGGAACUAUUGCAAAAUAUGGGACAAAUACCUUAUAGGACAUGUGAUAAGAGGACAAAAUGGAGGGUUUACAAGCAUAUGCCCUUAAAAUGGAGUGAUUAAGGGCUACAAGUAGUCAUGCUUGAUUCUUCUUCAAAAUUGUUAAACCUCCUCUGAAGUUGUGAUGAUUUUAGCUCGACAAGUAAAAAAUUAGCACUUACAAGAUUAUGUUUGACUUUGUCAUAUUGCUCAAUACAAGUUUAACAUGUGUCAUAUCCUUCGUCAAACUCAUUGGAGAACAUUUUAAAUUGUCCUAGAUUUUAGAGUUUUUUUAGGUAUCUUUUUGUAUGUCCCCGAAGAGACCAAUAUUUAUGGGUGGAGUUUGGAUACCUUAUUUGGCAUCCUAAGAUUUGAUUUUAUAGAUUCUAAAAAUUUAAUUCAUUGAUUGCAUUACUUUUUCUUUUCUUAGAUGACAUUUUACUAAGCCAACAAGAGAAUACAUCCUCUUUCUUGUAAUUUGAUUUGAUUUUAUUUUGCAAGGCAAUUUUCAUUUUUAUGUAUAGUUUCACAAAAUGAUACAAAGGUGCUUCUAUAGCCUAGUGAUGGUCAUUGAUUUUAUGGCUUAACAAAAUUAUGGAUAUUGAAAAUUAUGGAUAGGCAAGUGGUAUUUCACCUUAUAAUGUCAAUCUCUUAAUUAUUGUAUGAAUAAUUUUGCUUUAGGAUAGUCUUUCAUAAAUUUAAAGAGCUUUUGAUAUAGUAUUGAAGAAAAAUUGCAUUGACAUGGAACAAAAUCAUAUAAGGUGAACUAAAGGGGUUUAAAAGUAAAAUAUGGAAUUCUUUUAUUUAUUAACUUAUUAAAUUUUUAUCUUUUACUAAGAAAGAGAAUAAAUUGGAGAAUGUUUAAGAAAAAACAAAGUUCAAAUUUUAAUUUUAAUUUUCAAUUUUUUGUUACCUUCUAAAAUUUUCUUUUAUUUUUUAUUUUAAUCUUUUAGUCCAUUCAAUUUGAGAUAGCUAGAUAAAUAUACUAUCAUCAUAAUCAUAUAUGUAUAUUUAGGUUGUUUGUUAUUGGGACUUUUACUAAAUUAGUAUACUUAACACACUUAAGAUCUAGCGUUUCUUUACAAUGGUCUUAUAUAUUAGGUAAAAAAAUUUAUUUUAUAUAAAUCUUUUUCAAGAAGUAUUUGCAAAAUGUCUUGCAUGAAAAAAGAUUCCAAGAACUCAAUAUUCUUGUUAAAAGAAUUUAUAAAUACACAAUCUUGUAACUUAAAUUAAUCAGAUAAAGUUACCACUUAAAUUAAUCAGAUAAGCUUUGUAAAAGUUGAACAAAAAGCAAGUCUUACUUUUUUAGAAAAGUAAAGUUGAAUUGUGGAUGUCUCAAUCCACUAGCUUGACUUCAAAAGCUAAGAUGCAAUGGUGCUUUAUGCCCUUAAGAUCAUGAGAUAUUUUAAUUUAUUACUUAUGAAUUAAAGAAUUAGGUAGACUUAUAAAAAGGUAAAGACUAAUAUAGUUAUAUGAUUGUUAAAAAGUAAAUAGAAAAAAAAAAAAAAGAAGAAGAAGAAGAAGAAGAAAGAUAUCAUAAUCUCUCUUUCUUAUUCUUUGCUUCGUUAACACGUCUCUGGUUGAUUGGCUUGGGCUCUAAAUCAUUUAAAAUCUAAUGAUUUUGCAAAAAAAAAAAAAAGAAAAAAAAAAGAAAAGGAAAAAAUAAGUGACCUUAAAAGCAAAUACGACUAUAGUUCUAAAAUUUUAUUUCCAAAAUAUAUCUUCUUGUGAGGAUACAAAAUUGACUCUUAAGAAUUAAUGUAGUUUCAUAUUAAGUGUAUCCAUGUCCAAUAUAUUUUUUUUCUUUCUAAAUAAUGCAUUGUUUUUUAUAUUAAAAAGAAAAAAAAACCUUUUAAUGUCAAUCUCUUAUUUUAUAAAUAAUUUUACUUUACAACAUAAUACUAUAAAUUUAAAAAACCUCUAAUUUAAUAUUGAAGAAAAAUUGCAUUUGCAUGUACACAAUCAUGUACACACUUAAGAUCAAGCAUUUCUUUACAAUGGUCUUAUAUAUUCGGUAAAAAAAAACUUUAUUUUAUAUAAAUCUUUUUCAAGAGGUAUUUUCUAAAUGUCUUGCAUAAAAAAUACUCCAAGAACUCAAUUCUCUUGUUAAAAGAAUUUAUAAAUACACAAUCUUGUAACUUAAAUUAAUCAGACAAAGUUACCACUUUAUAUAGGUUAUAAUAAGACUCAGCAUUUCAUGAUAAGGGAAAAUUUUAAAAAAUUGUCAGUGGUUGGGCAAAAUAAAUUUAAAACUUUAUGAAUAAUAAGGUUUGUAAAAGUUGAACAAAAAGCAAAUCUUACUUUUUUAGAAAAGUAAAGUUGAAUUGUGGAUGUCUCAAUCCACUAGCUUGACUUCAAAAGCUAAGAGGCAAUGGUGCUUUAUGCCCUUGAGAUCAUGAGAUGUUUUAAUUUAUUACUUAUGAAUUAAAGAAUUAGGUAGACUUAUAAAAAGGUAAAGACUAAUAUAGUUAUAUGAUUGUUAAAAAGUAAAUAAAAAAGAAAAAGAAAAAAGAUAUCAUAAUCUCUCUUUCUUAUUCUUUGCUUGGUGGACAUGCUCUCCUAGCUGAUUUGGCUUGGGCUGCUAAAUCAUUUCAAAAUCUAAUCGAUUUUUGCUUCGAAAAAAAAAAAAAAAAANNNNNNNNNNNNNNNNNNNNNNNNNNNNNNNNNNNNNNNNNNNNNNNNNNNNNNNNNNNNNNNNNNNNNNNNNNNNNNNNNNNNNNNNNNNNNNNNNNNNCUUAGGAAUUAAAGAAUUAGGUGAGACUUAUAAAAAGGUAAAGACUAAUAUAGUUAUAUGAUUGUUAAAAAGUAAAUAAAAAAGAAAAAGAAAAAAGAUAUCAUAAUCUCUCUUUCUUAUUCUUUGCUUGGUGGACAUGUCCCUAGUUGAUUGGCUUGGGCUCUAAAUCAUUUAAAAUCUAAUGAUUUUGCCCAAAAAAAAAAAAAAAAAAGAAAAAAAACAAAAGAAAAAAGAAAAAAAAAAGUGACCUUAAAAACAAAUACGACUAUAGUUCUAAAAUUUUAUUUCCAAAAUAUAUCUUCUUGUGAGGAUACAAAUUUGACUCUUAAGAAUUAAUGUAGUUUCAUAUUAAGUGUAUCCAUGUCCAAGAUUUUUUUUUUCUUUCUAAAUAAUGCAUUGUUUUUUAUAUUAAAAAGAAAAAAAUACCUUUUAAUAUCAAUCUCUUAUUUUAUAAAUAAUUUUACUUUACAACAUAAUACUAUAAAUUUAAAAAACUUCUAAUUUAAUAUUGAAGAAAAAUUGCAUUUGCAUGUACACAAUCAUGUACACACUUAAGAUCUAGCAUUUCUUUACAAUGGUCUUAUAUAUUCGGUAAAAAAAUUUAUUUUAUAUAAAUCUUUUUCAAGAAGUAUUUUAUAAAAUGUCUUGUGUAAAAAAAAAACUCCAAGAACUCAAUACUCUUGUUAAAACAAUUUAUAAAUACACAAUCUUGUAACUUGAAUUAAUCAGAUAAAGUUACCACUUUAUAUAGGUUAUAAUAAGACUCAACAUUUCAUGAUAAGGGAGAAUUUUUAAAAAUUGUCUGUGGUUGGGCAAAAGAAAUUUAAAACUUUAUGAAUAAUAAGGUUUGUAAAAUUUGAACAAAAAGCAAGUCUUACUUUUUUAGAAAAGUAAAGUUGAAUUGUGGAUGUCUCAAUCCACUAGCUUGACUUCAAAAGCUAAGAUGCAAUGGUGCUUUAUGCCCUUGAGAUCAUGAGAUGUUUUAAUUUAUUACUUAUGAAUUAAAGAAUUAGGUAGACUUAUAAAAAUUAAGGUAAAGACUAAUAUAGUUAUAUGAUUGUUAAAAAAUAAAUAAAAAAAAAGAAGGAAAAAGAUAUCAUAAUCUCUCUUUCUUAUUCUUUGCUUGGUGGACACGUCCCUAGCUGAUUGGCUUGGGCUCUAAAUCAUUUAAAAUCUAAUGAUUUUGCAAAAAAAAAAAAAAGAAAAGAAAAAUAAAAGUGACCUUAAAUGCAAAUAUGACUAUAGUUCUAAAGUUUUAUUUCCAAAAUAUAUUUUCUUGUGAGGAUACAAAAUUGACUCCUAAGAAUUAAUGUAGUUUCAUAUAAAGUGUAUCUAUGUCCAAGAUUCUUUUAUUUAUUUAUCUAUUUUUAUUUGUUUCUAAAUAAUGCAUUGUUUUUUAUAUUAAAAAGAAAAAAAAAACCUUUUAAUGUCUAUCUCUUAUUUUAUAAAUAAUUUUACUUUACAACAUAAUACUAUAAAUUUAAAAAACCUCUAAUUUAAUAUUGAAGAAAAAUUGCAUUUGCAUGUACACAAUCAUAUAAUAUAAAUCAAGAGGAUAAAUAAGAAGUAAAUACCAAAGACAUGAGCAUAAGAAAAGGUGAAGAUGUAUAUAAAUUAAUAAAAUGUUUAAUGGUGAUUAUUAUAUGAUCGUGUCCUUUAAACAUUAUUAAUUUUUAAUGGAAUCAUACCAUUUUUCUUUUUUUUGUAUAAAGGUAAAAACAAACAUUGAAUUUUGUAAAAAAAUAUUUUUCAAGAAGCAUUUGCAAACAUUUUUGCAUGUAAAAAAAUUCUAGAUGUUAACACUUUUGCAACUUAUAUUAAUUAGAUAAUUACCAACAUGUAUGUUAGACUUGACAAUUUAAGUAAUAAAAAUUUAUGCUUGAUAAUGCAAAUUAACACCAAGUACCAUGGAAAAAUAAAGGAAAAAUGAGUGUCUCUCGUGUUUGUAGGUGAUAAAUAGUUAUUAAAUAAACAACAAUAUUUAUAUUUUUUUUAAUUUUCAUAAAUUUUCAUUUCAUGAUAGUAGAAUGCAUAUCAUCCUACCAGAUAAAAUAAAUGUAAAAUUAGGGAAAGAUUAACAAGCAAAGUUGAAAUGAAGUAAUAUAUAAGUCUUGCUUUACAUGUAGUGGCCUUCUCUUUAAUAUAUUUUGUGCUUAAUAUGCCAUUGAGUUCAUGAGAUGUUUCAAUUAAUUAUCUAUGAAUUAAAGUGUGGGGGAAGAGAAAGACUAAUAUGCUUAUUGGAAACAUAAACGUACUUUAGACAAUUAUCUUCUUUUUUUUUUUUCUUUUUUCCUCUUUCACAUAAGGUAGUGGUGUUUACUCAUAAAUUUUUCCAUGUUCUUUAGUAGGUAGAGAUAUUUUUAAGUCAAGUUAAUUGAUAUUAAAAACAUAGACCUUGGUCAAUUAUCCCUUUUCUUCUCUUUCACAUAAGGUAAGGGCGUACAUUGAUAUUUCUAUGUCUUUUGCAAAGGAUUAUACUUAAGCGGUAAUCUUUUAAGUUAUGAUAAUUAAACUUAAUAAUACAAAAACUAGGUAUGGUAUGUGAAAAUAAACAAAAAAAAAAAGGAAUCUAUCAUGUUACUAACUGAAAAAUAGUGAUUAAAUGAAAAAAAUAAAUACAAUAAUAGGGGAAAGACAACAAGAAAGAUUGAACAAAAAGUAAUAAAGUCUUGCUUUAUUAGAAAGUAAAGUUGAAUUGUGGAUGUCUCAAUCCACUAGCUUGACUUCAAAAGCGAAGAUAUAAUGGGUUAUGAUGAUUAUACUUGAGUGGUAAUCUUUUAAGUUUUGAUAAUUAAACUUAAUAAUACAAAGACUAGGUAUGGUAUGUGAAAAUAAACAAAAAAAUAAAAAUAAAAAUAAAAAAGGAAUCUCUCAUGUCACUAAGUGAUAAAUAGAGAUUAAAUGAAAAUAAAAAAUAUAAAAAUAGGGGAAAGACAACAAGAAAGGCUGACCAAAAGUAAUAAAGUCUUGCUUUAUUAGAAAGUAAAGUUGAAUUGUGGAUGUCUCAAUCCACUAGCUUGACUUCAAAAGCGAAGAUGUAAUGGGUUAUGAUGAUUAUACUUGAGUGGUAAUCUUUUAAGUUAUGAUUAUUAAACUUAAUAAUACAAAGACUGUGUAUGGUAUGUGAAAAUAAAAAAUAAAAAAAUAAAAAAGAAAUCUCUCAUGUUACUAAGUGAUAAAUACUGAUUAAAUAAAAAUAAAUAAAUAUAAAAAUAGGGGAAAGACAACAAAAAAUGUUGAACAAAAAGUAAUAAAGUCUUGCUUUAUUAGAAAGUAAAGUUGAAUUGUGGAUGUCUCAAUCCACUAGCUUGACUUCAAAAGCGAAGAAGUAAUGGGUUAUGAUGAUUAUACUUGAAUGGUAAUCUUUUAACAUGUGAUAAUUAAACUUAAUAAUACAAAGACUAUGUAUGGUAUGUGCAAAAAAAUAAAAAUAAAAAAAGAGUCUCAUGUUACUUGGUGAUAAAUAGUGAUUAAAUGAAAACAAAUCAAUAUAAAUAUAGGGGAAAGUCAACUAGAAAGGUUAAACAAAAAGUAAUAAAGUCUUGCUUUAUUAGAAAGUAAAGUUGAAUUGUGGAUGUCUCAAUCCACUAGCUUGACUUCAAAAGCAAAGAUAUAAUGGGCUAUGAUGAUUAUAUUGGUUUGGUAAUCUUUUAAGUUAUGAUAAUUAAACUUAAUAAUACAAAGAAUAGGUAUGUUAUGUGAAAAUAAACAAAAAAAUAAGGAAUCUCUCAUGUUACUAAGUGAUAAAUAGUGAUUAAAUGAAAAUAAAUAAAUAUUAAAAUAGGGGAAAAACAACAAGAAAGGUUGAAAAAAAGUAAGAAAGUCUUGCUUUAUUAGAAAGUAAAGUUGAAUUGUGAAUGUCUCAAUCCACUAGCUUGACUUCAAAAGCGAAGAAGUAAUGGGUUAUGAUGAUUAUACUCUAAUGGUAAUCUUUUAAGUUAUGAUAAUUAAAGUUAAUAAUACAAAGACUGUGUAUGGUAUGUGAAAAUAAACAAAAAUAAAAAAAGAAUCUCUCAUGUUACUAAGUGAUAAAUAGCGAUUAAAUGAAAACAAAUAAAUAUAAAAAUAGGGGAAGGACAAUAAGAAAGUUUGAACAAAAAGUAAUAAAAUCUUGCUUUAUUAGAAAGUAAAGUUGAAUUGUGGAUGUCUCAAUCCACUAGCUUGACUUCAAAAGUGAAGAAGUAAUGGGUUAUGAAGAUUAUACUUGAAUGGUAAUCUAUUAAGUUAUGAUAGUUAAACUUAACAAUACAAAAACUAUGUUUGGUAUGUGAAAAUAAACAAAAAAAAUUAAAAUAAAAAAAGAAUCUCUCAUGUUACUAGGUGAUAAAUAGUGGUUAAAUGAAAACAAAUAAAUAUAAAAUUAGGGAAAGACAACAUGAAAGGUUGAACAAAAAGUAAUAAAGUCUUUCUUUAUUAGAAAGUAAAGUUGAAUUGUGGAUGUCUCAAUCCAUUAGCUUGACUUCCAAAGCGAAGAUGUAAUGGGUUAUGAUGAUUAUACUUGAGUGAUAAUCCUUUAAGUUAUGAUAGUUAAACUUAAUAAUACAAAGACUAGGUAUGGUAUAUGAAAAUAAACAAAAAAAAAAUAAAAAUAAAAAUAAAAAGGAAUCUCUCAUGUUUCUAAGUGAUAAAUAGUGAUUAAAUGAAAACAAAUAAAUAUAAAAAUAGGGGAAAGACAACUACAAAUGUUGAAUAAAAAAGUUGAAUUGUGGAUGUCUCAACUCACUAGUCGGACUUCAGAAGCGAAGAUGUAAUGGGUUAUGAUGAUUAUACUUGAGUGGUAAUCUUUUAAGUUAUGAUAAUAAACUUAAUAAUACAAAGACUAGGUAUGGUAUGUGAAAAUAAACAAAAAAUAAAAAGAGAAAUAAAAAGGAAUCUCUCAUGUUUCUAAGUGAUAAAUAGUGAUUAAAUGAAAAUAAAUAAAUAUAAAAAUAGGGGAAAGACAACUAGAAAGGUUCAACAAAAAGUAAUAAAGUCUUGCUUUAUUAGAAAGUAAAGUUGAAUUGUGGAUGUCUCAAUCCACUAGCUUGACUUCAAAAGCGAAGAUGUAAUAUUGCUUUAUGUGCUUGAAAUCAUAAGAUGGUUUGAUUUAUUACUUAUGAAUGAAGGAAUUAGGUAGACUAAUAUGGUUUUAUGACCGUUGAAAAGGAAAAAGAAAAAAAAAAACAAAAGAUAUUGUAAUAUCUCUUACUUAUUCUUUGCUUGGGGGAUAUGUCUUAGUUGAUUGGCUUAACUUUGAACCAUUAUACAAAAGAACUUAUGAUAUAAUGAUUUUGCACAAAAAAAAAAAAAAAAACAAAAAAGCAAAAUUAUGAAUGUAACUAUAAAAGCCAAUACAACUAUAGUUCUAAAAUUUUAUUUCCAAAAUAUAUCUUCUUGCAAGGAUACAAAAUUGACUCUUAAGAAUUAAUAUAGUUUCAUAUUAAGUGUAUCUAUGUGCAUAAUUUAUUUAUUUAUUUAUUUAUUUUUUCAAAUGAUGUGUUGUUUUUUAUAUUAAAAGAAAAAAAAUUUAAUGUCAAUAUCUUAUUUUAUAAAUAAUGUUGCUUUACAACAUAACACAAUAAAUUUAAAAAGUCUUUUUUUAAUGUUGAAGAAAAAUUGCAUUUGCAUGUAUGCAAUCAUAUAAUACAAAUCAAGAGGGUAUAUAAGAAGUAAAUACUGAAGACACGGGCUUAAAAGAAGGUGAAGAUGUACAUAAAUUAGUAAAAAGUUUAAUGAUUAUGAUUAUAUGAUUGUGUCCUCUAUACUUUAUUGAUUUUUUAAUGGAAUCACACAAAUUUUCUUUUCUUGUAAAAAAGUAAAACCGAACAUUGAUUUUUUAUUUAUUUAUAAAAAUAAGAAGUAUUUGCAAACAUUUUUGCAUGUAAAAAAAAUCAUUGAAGCUAGCACUUUCACCAAAAGAAUCUACAAAUGCAUCGACUUGCAACUUCUAUUAAUCAGAUAGAAUUACCACUUCAUAUGUUACACUUGACAAUUUAAGUAGUGAAAAUUUGAUGAAAAACUUUAUACUUGACAAUACGUUUGUAACAAUUUGGUAAAAUUUUUUAUUAGUGGUAAUCUUAUGAGAUAUGAUAAUUAGACUUGAUAAUGCAAAUAAAACACUAAGUACCAUGGGAAAAUGAAGGAAAAAGGAUUGUCUCUUGUGUUUUUAAGUGACAAAUAGCAAUAAAAUAAAAAACAAUAUAUAUAUUAAUUUUCAUAUUUUUUUUUUCAUUAUAGUGGCAUGCAUAUUAUCUUACAAGGUAAAAUAAAUGUAAAAUUAGGGGAAAGACUAACAAGAAAAGUUGAAAAAAAGUAAUAUAUAAGUCUUGCUUUAUAUGUAAUGGUCUUCUCUUUAAUAUAAUUUGUGUUUUAUAUGCCAUUGAGUUCAUGAGAUGUUUCAAUUAAUUAUUUAUGACUUAAAGCUUUAGAUAGACGUGUGGGAAGGGAGAGACUAAUUAAUAAGCAUUGGAAACAUAGACUUUGGAUAAUUAUCUCAUUUUCUUGUUCUUUUAAACAUGGUAAUGAUAAACACACAUACGUUUUUUUUAGUAAGUAGAGAUAUUGUCAAGUUGAGUCAAUUGACAUUGAAAAUAUAGAUAUUGGACAAUUAUUUCUUUUUCUUCUCUUUCAGACAUGGUAGAGGCAUACAUUGAUAUUUCUAAGUCUUUUACAAAGUAUACACUACCUUUUUCUUUUUUAGUUUUUUUGGGUCAAGUCAAUAGAUUAGUGGGUGGAGGAAAAACAACAAACUAACAAACAUGAACCUUAGAUUAUUACUUUUUUCUCUUUCACACAUGAUAGUGGUCCUAGUUCAUAAAUUUUUCUAUGUCCUUUAAUUGGCAAGGAUAGAGACUCUUCAUUUUUAUCUCUCAUGUUGUUAGUUUCCAUCUUUAAUAUCUUAGAUUUUUUUUUUAAUUUUAUCUUUAACUUGUAGCUUGGUGGAAAGCCAAUUUAUUGUGACUUGUAAGCCAUCUUGGAAUUUAAAAAAUAAAAAUAAAAUUAUAGAUACAUCAUCUUGGAAUUUAAGGUUUAAAAAGGCUUUGUGUGUUGGAACUACAUGAUUUGGUAUUAAUAAUAAUUUAAUAUAAAUAUUUUAUUUUAUUUUGCUCUCGUUGCAUCAAUAUAAUAACAAACUUAUAUUUAUACUAAACAAAUCAUCAUUGUACUAUGACCUUAUUUGAUAAUUACACUAAGUGUCUUAAUUAACAUAAUAAUCCUAAAUAAAUAAAAAUUUUCUAAUAUUUUUCAAAUUCUUAAAAUACUUUUAAUUUCAAUUGAAGUUAGAUAACUAAUUUCAAUAGCCCUCCUUGAGUCAAGCUUUAAAGUCAAUCAUACAAAAUAACAUCUUCAUCUUUUGUACAUAUUCGCCUUUAAUGGGUUUGUAAAAGAUAACUACAAUUUCAUCUUUUGAUUUGCCAAACCCAAGCUUUAUCUUACCAUUUCGUGAGUUCUCUAAUAUGAUGAAACUUGAUUCUUAUAUGCUUCUACAAUGAAAUAUUAGAUUCUUUGUUAUUGGUAUAGCAAACUUAUUAUCACACAAAAUCUUUGUAGUACAUUUUAAUUUAUGCUUUAACUCACUAAGAAUCCUAUGAAGCUAAGCUACUUGACAUGCUAUCAAAUUCACUACCAUGUAUUUAGCUUUUGUAGUGAUAAUGCUACAACUUGCUAAUUCUUUGAUGAUCGUGAGAAUGCUCUUGUUCCAAGAUAAAAAAAACAUAUCUAAUAGUCCUCGUUCUAGUCUUUACAUCACCUCCUUAGUCACUAUCAAUGUAACCCACUAAAUUAAAAUUGCUUAGUAAGAGUAAAAAAUUCCAUGAUCAAGAGUACCAUUGAUAUACAUAAAAUUCCCUUUGUUGCUUGCUAAUGUGUCUACUAUGGUUUUUCCAUAAAUUGAUUGAUAAUUCCCACUCCACAAACAAUAUUUGUCCAAUAUAAAUCAAACAACAAAAACUUUCCACUAUGCCCUUGAAAUAUGUGAAAUUUAAUAAUUCUCUAAUGUCUUCCUUUUUCAUCUUUAAUUGCUUUGUAAUAGGAGACUAAAUUGUUGAUAAUUAUUUCAUCUCGAAUAAUUUUCGAAUGUUUAUAACAUACUUCUCUUGUGAGAUGAAAAUAUCAUCAUUUGUUUGUUGGACCUCAAUUCCAAGAAAAUAGGACAUUAAUCCUAAAUCUAUCAUCUCAAUUUACUAUGUCAUUGUUGUUGGGAUAGAACCCUAGAAAGUAUGCAUGACAUGAUGUAUUCAUUAAUAAAUUUAUUUAUUUAUGAUGUUGGUUUUCUUUUAUUAUCCUAUUUUCAUUAAUUGGUUAUCUAAACAUUUAUGCCCACUAGCACUUUUAAAUCAUAUUUAUUUAUAUCAUAGUCUCAUUUAAUUUGUGUAUACUUUGUAGUUUGGUCUCAAAUGUUUGUACCGUUAUCCAACGGUGUAAAUUUUAUCACACACAUUCAAUGGCCCAAUGUGGACUCCAAUAGGUACUUAUGUACUUUAGUAUAUUCCUUAGAUAGAUAUAGUACCUUAGAUAAAUAUAGUAACUUUUAUAUAAAAAAUGAUCCUACUGAAAGUUUACUUUUAAAAGUUUUAUGUAAAAUUUACUAUUAUUUUUUAUUUUUUUAAAAAUAGAAAAUAAAAAAUAUAUCUAAACAACACCUAAAUUAAUAAAUAAUAUUUUUAUAUUCAAUUUAUUUUAUUCAUCUAAAUUUUAAUAACCAUUUACCAAGUUAAAAGGUCAUAAAAAAGAUUAAGAAUAUCAUACUUUGAUUAAUUAUUUAUAAUCAAUAAAAUAUAAAUAUUCUUAAUCGAAGUUUUGUUUUAAUUAGAUAAGUCUAACAUUAUUUCAUAACUAAUUCUAAGUCUCAUUUUUAUUUUUAUUUUUAUUUUCAAAAUGAAACCAUAAUCCUUUUGAACUAUGCCAUUGAGAUGGGUAUCAUUUAAACACAAUGAUGUUAUUGUUUAUCACUUUUAUGGGGGUAGUAUGUUAAACCUAUAUAUUUCACUUCAUUUCAUUUUUAUUAUAACAAGGGUGAUGCUAAUCGUACUCGUCUUUUCUAUUUGUACACUUAGGUGGUGUUUGUUUUUUGGCUGAACAGAAAAAGUCAAAAUAUUUGUCUUUUCUUAUUCAGUUAAAAAUAACAUGUUGACAUCAUCCAACAUAACUAAACUGAACCUAUUGAUAACAAGUUCAUUUUAGCUAUGUUGGAUGAUGUCAACAAGUUACUUUUAGCUUAAUAGAAAAAACCAAAUAUUUUGGUUUUUUCUAUUCAGCCAAAAAACAAACACCACCUUAGCCUCAUUUGAAAAAAAACAAAGAAAAGUAGGUGUAAAGAGAAAAAAAAAAGGUGGGUACAAUUAUUAUUUUCUUUAUGGUAAACAUAAAUACUUGCAUAAUAGUGGCCUUCGAGGUAAUGAGGGAAAAGUCCUCACUCAAUUCCUUGCGGAAUAGCAGACUUUUUGAGGUAUAACGAGAGUUUGAAGAGGUAAAGGCCUUACUCUAUUCCUGCCCUUCAGUAAGGAAUAAUGGCCUUAAUUUUUUAUUUUUUAUUUGGGUCAAAGCCUGACUCUAUUCUUGCCUUUCAGUUAGGAAUAGCCGCUUUGGAGAAGGGUAAGAAUAAUGAGUGAAGUCCUUACUCUAUUCCUAGCGGAAUAGCAGACUUUGGUUAUUAGGGAGAGGCCUUACUUUAUUCCCUUCAAGAAUAGCAGCCUUGGUUGAAGAGAAGUUGUAGCUCACAAUUUCUUACCACAUUGAAUGAAUCAAUUUCUUACCAUAUUUCUUUCAUUUCCUAUGAAGAAAAAUUAAUAAUCAGGUCAUAAGUUAGUUGGAAACUAAAGUAAUGAUGUAAUCAACUUCUUUUUUUUCCUAAGUUUGUGAAGAUGUCUUGAUUAAUAUGUUUUUCUUUGUAAUGAAGUUUCAAUAGGUUGAUAUAACUUAAAAUAAGAGAUCAAAUAUUUGUAAUUAUUUUCGCACCUCGAUUCAUAGAACAUCUUUCAAUUCUUCCUCAUUUGUCAUUAAUUAAUAAUUAAAUUUGAUUUUGGAUCCGGAUGUGUUCAUGAAUUUACAUAAGUUGAGCUUAAUUAAAGCCAUCAUACAUAGGAAGAUCAAACAUUUGAAAAUAUACUAAUAAUAUAAGAAUUUAUAUAAUUGGUUAAGAGAAUUUUUAUAAGAAUUGAUAACAUUUAAAAGAAAAAACAGUUUAAUAUUGGGUUAUAUACUUUUCUAAUACAAAAAUUGUUAUGUAAAAAUUAUGAAUUUGACUCUUCAAUAAAUAAAAGCUACAACUUCUUAACCAUAAAAAUAAAUAAAUAAAUAAAAUAAAAAUUAUGAAUUUGACUCUUCAAUAAAUAAACCAACUACCCAAACAAUGCCCUAAAAAGAAUACAUGCAGGGAGCUUUGCCUUCAUCAACCUCUCUUAAAUUUGGAGCCACUUUGCCCCCUUUUUUAAGGGUAAAACUUAGGUAACGCUCAUAAUUAUUUAUUUUCAAAAUCACUUCAUUUAUUAUAUAAUAUGUUAUUAAACAUAUUAUUAUUACUUACAUUAAUUGAUUCUCUGUGAAUGAGAAAGGAAUGGCAGCACCUAAAGUGGCUGGAAAAAUAUGAGCAACGACGGUACAGUAGGGUCUGUUUGGUAGUUGGUUUGAAAAAUAAAUCAGAAAAAUAAUUUUUGAAAAUAAUUUUUUAGAUUUUAUAGAAUAAAAAUCUAUUUAAAUACUUAAAAUAUUUUUAAAAAUAAUUUUUAUACUUAAUUAUUUUACAUGUUUAUGUAAUUAUUUUUUUAAAAUAACAUUAAAAAAAUAAAUGAAAGUAAUAUAAAACACUUGAAAUAUGUUAUCCGAAAAUAUUUUGUUUUUUGUGUUUUAUUGAUAAACGUGUUUUUUCUUUAAGAAAAAAAAAAAAAAAACCGUUGUUAAAAACAGUUCUGAAACAGGAACUAAGUUAUUGCUUUCAAAUUAUGUUUUUGUUUAACACUUUUAAACAGUAUUUUCUUAUGUUUUAAGAAUUGGAAUUAGAAUCAGCAGAAGAAGCGUUUUUUAAAAAUAUAAAAAUAAAAUCGAAGUGCAUUGAAGAUGCUAAAGCCCAAAUGCAUCAGGGAAUGUGCUGAGUGACUGAGUCACUCGGUCGGAUCCCCAUCCCUCUAGUGAAAGCCUCAGAUCUAAGAUGAAACUAAUCCAACGGUCCGGAUAAUUUCACCCACAAACCCCGACCUCUCCCUAUAAUCUAUAUGCCUUGCAGAACCUCACACGUCACCAAAAUAUACGAAAAAUUCCCGUGUCAGCGUCCAACAGCGAACCAAGGCAUAUUUUCCUGCAACAUCUCAGCCGUCCAUUGUCUGGGUCCCAUUUUACCAUGUACGGCUCAGAUGUAUAGGCAAAAUCUUUAUAGGUACCCAGCGACGGACUCUGGGGCAAUGUUUUCAGAACCGGACCGGUGAUCGAACCGGAAAAGUUACCGGUUCACGGUUCACUGGUCGGACCGGCGGUCGAACCGCUAUUGAACCGGUGACGUCAUAAAUAUAUAAUUUAUAUAUUAUUAAAAUUAAAAAUAAUUAUAAAAAUUUUAAAAUAUAUAUGAAUAAAUUGAAAAUCAAUAAUAUUAUCAAAUUAAAUCAUAUUAAUAUUUUUAAUUUUAUUAAAUGAGAUAUGUAAAAUAUUUAAAUGUGAAAAUAUUAAAAAUGAAAAUUUAAACUAAUUUUAUCAUUUUUAAAAAUAUUAUAUUAUUUUUAUUUAACAUUACAAAAAAAAUUUAAAAUCUAAUAUAUAUUAUUUUGUUUAGCAUAUUAGGUAACAAAAGCCGUGUAGCUGGAGUGGUGCCUAGGCUGCCUUCCGAAACAGGGGUCCAAGGUUCAAUUCCUCUUGGCUGGGGACUUGUUAUUAUUUUUUUCAUUGCUUAGGUUGGUUAGGAAUCCCACAUCGGAUUCUAAGAGAAAUGAGGAUGCAAAGGGUGCCUAUAAAUGCUAUCCACAUUGAAGACCAAAGCAUUGCUUCACUGGGUGGGCUGAAAAGUAAGCCCACAAUAUGAUUGAGUGGGGUUUGGGCUUUGUCAUGAUGAGACAAGGCCCAAAAUGGGCAUUUGCCAAAACAUUUUUAUGCAAUGAGCCUUUAAAAUGGAGGUUCAAAUUGAACCGUUCGGUUCAAUUAGAACCGUCCGGUUCAACCGAGUCGCCGGUCCGACCGCCGGUUUUGGCGGUUCGUGGCCGGUUUAAACCUUAAGCUGUUCAAUAGGGCAGACCGGACCGGAAUUGUGACCGGUCGACGGUUGAACCGGUUGGACCGGCCGGUCCGGUCCGGUUUUUAAAACAUUGCUCUGGGGACUCUCUUUCGUCUUUUUUUUUUUUUUUUUCUUUUUCUCCUUUCCUCCUCUGUGGCGGCUCUAAGCUUUUUUUGGGUACCGAGCUUCACGCUCGAUACAGAAACCCUAACUGCUCGUACUAUACAAAACCAAACCGCAUAUUAGAGCUUCGGCGACACAGCAAUGGAGGUUUCCCUAGGAAGACGCCACCACACUUUUCUAUAUGAUUUAUCCACAUUAAGAAAAAAGUAGAAUCCGAAAAUGUCAUGCAGGAGACCAUUUUUAUUUAAAAUUAUGCUUCCUUUUUAAAGUGGAAGGAAUCUAGGUACUGCGUUCAUAUGGUAGAGUCAAACUUUCCAGGCAAAAACAGAUACUAUAUAUAUAUAUAUAUAUAUAUAUAUAUAUGUGAGUGCUUGGUCUCCUGGGAAUUCAUAAGAAAAAACCAACAGUUGCAAAGCCUCUCUUCUAUUACUUGCAGACCAUGGCAGGACGGUCCUUUCAACACCUUCUUAGCUUUCUUAUGCUUUUGUUGCUAUGUGCCAAACCUGGCAUGGGGAAUGUUACUGGGUGCAUAGAGAGGGAGAGACAAGCUCUCCUUCACUUCAAACAUGGCCUUGUGGAUGACUUUGGCCUUCUUUUCUCAUGGGGAGACGACAACAGAGAUUGUUGCCAAUGGAGAGGAGUCCAGCGUAGUAACCAGUCAGGUCACAUCAUCAUGCUUCAUCUUCCUGCCCCGCCAAAUGAAGAAUAUGAUGAAUAUGGUAUUUACCAAUCUCUUAGAGGCGAUAUAAGUCCUUCGCUGCUUGAAUUGGAGCACUUGACUCAUUUGGAUCUCAGCUGUAAUGAUUUUGAAGGGAGGCACAUACCUCCAUUCCUUGGUUCCCUCAGCAGAAUGCAGUACCUCAAUCUCUCUCAGGCCAAUCUCGCUCAAACUGUUCCCACUCAACUGGGGAAUCAUUCCAACUUGCUUUCCCUUGAUCUCAGCGAUAAUUAUUUGAAUUUUGGGAACCUUGAGUGGCUUUCUCGUCUUUCUUCUUUUAAGACACCUUGACCUGAGUUCUGUCGACCUUAGUAAAGUCAUCCACUGGUCCCACGCAAUUAAUAAACUCCCUUCUCUCAUUCACUUGGAUUUACAAAAUUGUGGUCUCCCUCCCAUCCCUCCACUCAUCAUUCCGUCUCUUUCCCAUGUGAAUUCCUCUGUCCCUCUUGUUUUCCUUGAUCUCUCUAGGAAUUAUCUCACUUCUUCAAUAUAACCAUGGCUGCUCAACUUUAGUACCACCCUCCUUCAUCUUGAUCUCUCGUUCAGUGAUUUAAACGGUUCGAUUCUGAAAUAUGCUUUUGGGAACAUGAGUUCCCUUGAAUAUCUUAAUCUCCAUUCGAGUGAACUUGAUGAUGAGAUUCCGGAUACAAUUGGAGACAUGGGAUCACUUGCAUAUCUUGAUCUCUCUUGCAAUCAACUGCAGGGCUCAAUUCCAAAUACAAUUAGGAAGAUGGUUUUACUUUCACAUCUUGAUCUCUUUCGCAAGCAACUGCGGGGCUCAAUUCCAGAUACAGUUGGGAAGAUGGUUUUACUUUCACGUCUUAAUCUUUCUGGCAAUCAACUGCAGGGCUCAAUUCCACAUACAGUUGGGAAGAUGGUUUUACUUUCACAUCUUGAUCUCUCUGGCAAUCAACUACAGGGCUCAAUUCCAAAUACAGUUGGGAAGAUGGUUUUACUUUCACAUCUUGAUCUCUCUCGCAAUCAAUUGCAGGGCUCAAUUGCAGAUACAGUUGGCAACAUGGUUUCUCUUGGAAAACUCUAUCUCUCUUUGAAUCAUCUUCAAGGUGAGAUUCCAAAAUCCUUGAGUAAUUUAUGUAACUUACAAGCAUUAGAGUUGGAUAGAAACAAUAUCUCUGGACAGCUUGCACCAGACUUUGUGGCCUAUGCAAAUGACACAUUAGUGACUUUGUCUUUAUCAGCAAACCAGUUCAGUGGAUCAGUUCCUGCUCUCAUUGGAUUUUCAUCCUUGAGAGAGUUACAUCUUGAUUUUAAUCAACUAAAUGGAACUUUACCUAAAGGUCUUGGACAGUUGUCCAACCUUCAAUCCUUGGAUAUUGCCUCAAAUUCAUUGCAAGGCACUAUCAAUGAAGCCCAUCUCUUUAAUCUAUCCCAGUUGUCCUAUUUAGACUUAUAUUAGCUUCCAACUCUCUCACUUUCAACAUGAGCUUGGAGUGGGUUCCUCCAUUUCAACUGCUUCAUCUACUAUUAGCCUCCUGCAAAUUAGGACCUCUUUUUCCUAGUUGGCUUCGUACUCAAAACUCGUUGAGAGAGCUUGAUAUCUCCAAUUCUGAAAUUUCAGAUGUCCUCCCAGACUAGUUCUGGAAUGUAACCAUCUCAACUGUCAGAACCUUGAGUAUUUCCAACAAUCAGAUCAAAGGAACCUUACCGAAUUUAUCAUCAAAAUUUGGUUAUGUAUCUAACAUAGAUAUGAGCUCAAACUGUUUUGAGGGUUCAAUACCACAACUUCCUUAUGACGUGCAAUGGUUGGAUCUCUCCAAUAACAAGUUCUCAGGGUCCAUUUCUUUAUUAUGUACAGUGGGUAAUCAGUUACUUCUACUUGACCUCUCAAACAACUCGUUGUCGGGAGGGCUGCCCAAUUGUUGGGCACAGUGGGAAAGUUUGGCAGUUCUUAAUUUGGAAAGUAACAGAUUUUCUGGGCAAAUUCCAAAUUCAUUUGGCUCUUUGCAAUCAAUUCAAACACUACAUUUGCGCAAUAAAAAUUUAACCGAAAAAUUGCCUUUAUCUUUUAUGAAUUGUACAAGUUCGAGGUUCAUUGAUUUGGCAAAAAAUAGGUUAUUGAUUACUACUCAAAAAGGGCUAUUUGAUAGCUUGUAAUUAACUCUUUUAAACAAUUUUGAGUAGUAGUUAUUGCCUUUUAACCCAAUUAGCAUAUUGAGGACCUUUGCAAUCACUUCUAAUCAUUUUGUGUAAGUUUUGGUGUUUUUGUUAGUAAUUUGAUCACCAAAGCAACCCAAGGUGGAGGAGAGUUAUUUGGAAUCCAUGGCAAAGCAAUGGAAAGCUCAGAAACAUGAAGAAUCAGAGCUUUAAAGCCUUAAAGUCCUUUGCCAUAACCAAUCCGGAAUGCAAGGAGGAGAAGUAAAGAGAGAAUCUACCUUGAAGCAUUCUUGAUGACAGUCAUUUCAGCCACUUUUGGAUUACUUCCUGAAGUCCAAUUUAUGCAUGCUUUAUGUCGUUUCGAAGAUCGGGAAGUCAAAAAUCCAAUGCUUCAAACGGUUCGCAAAUCAGAGUUGAAAUGAAAAAGUUAGAGCCAAUGGAAGCAGAUCACUCCAAGCUGAAGGCCAAUUUCGCAGGGCUGCGAAAUCAGCCUUCGGCUGCGAAAUGAUUUCGCAGCCAUCUUGUUCGUCUGCGAAAUUUCGCAGCCAUUUUGUGCGCCUGCGAAAUUCUCCUGAGUGCUUCCAGAUAUUUGCGACCAACGUUUUUUGUUAUUUUGCCUCAGAUAUUUGUUGUCUAAAUCCCAAUUCUCUCCUUGUAAUCCACCAAUUAGAUGAUUCCUUAGUUGUUAAGCAAGGAUACAGGGGUAAACAACCUGUUAUAUAUUGUUUUGUAAGUUUCAUUUUAAGGGUCGUCGGGGAAUUUUCUCCAGAAGACCAUCUUUUGUAAAGUUUACACUUAGCUAAAUACAGAGUAUCUUUUGCUUUCUUUUUCUCUCUUCUAUUUUCUAUUUUCUUAGUAGCCAAACAUCCUUGGAGGAUGAAAUCCCCAAGGAUGAGAGGCUAAAACCUUUUAGUUUCUUGAAGUAAUGGAUGCCAUGUGAAGCUCCCGUGUCAGGAUGGAGAUUUCCAAGCCAUGAAUGUAAGUAGCUGAGCGUCAUAAAUGUUUUCAUUCAAAGUAAAGCUUUUAAUCCCUCUGACUUGCUUUGAAUGGCCAAUACUUGAUAACCUUUUGGUCUCAGUGGAUUCUUAUUGUUAGAUCCACUGAUGUUCAUUAGUUAUCUCCUACGAGCCAUUGUAUUGCAAGUCGAGGAGAUGACCUAUAUCAUUAAAAGAGCAUUUAUGAGGUUCAACUACCCUUUUUGUAAGUUUUCAAGGACUAAAACUCAGUUGUUAAACUCAUACCGGUUCGGGAAGUAAGCAUCACCUUAGUUGCUUCCCCAACUCGAGGUGAAAAGUCCCAAAAUCUCCAUUUUUACACAGUGAGUUAAGCAUGGCUAUCCAAAGCUUUGAGAAACUUCUUUUUCCAUCUUUUAACCUAUUUUCAUGUUAGUUUAGUUUACACACCUUCAUCUUUUUAUGUUUUCAUCUUAACCUAAUUUUUAUUAAGAAAAGUUCACUCCAUCCUCCGAACUUCACCAGUUAAAGUAAAAACCCUUCCCAGUGUUCGAUCCUAGAGCCACUAUGCUAUAGUAGCUUUGCUACUUUAGUGUAAGGACCUUAGGUAUAAAUUUUGUUGAUACCCUUACAUGCCAAGCUACCAAGAGUCGGGUUAUCAAAUGGCGCCGUUGCCGGGGAGGGUGCUACUUCACUGUGAAUAUAUCAGCCGGAGGUAACUUGUGAGACUUCUCAUGAGUAAGGUGAAUUCUAUCUCAUUUUUCAUUUACUAACUUUUUAUUUUAGUUUUAGAACAUUUUUAACUUAGUUUAGAUAAGUUUCUUUUAGCUUUUAACUUUCAUUUUUAGUUUAUUUUUCAUACUCUGUUUUUCCUUCCGCAUGCUCUGUUUUUUUUUCUUUUUCUUUGUUUUGUUUGUUUACUUUGUUCCAGCUGAAUCCGUGCAUGCCCUAUUGGAUUAGAGACCAAGAGGGAAGGUUAGUGCGGAUAGAGACUCCACGAGCUAUUGAAUUAGAGAUUAUUUUAAAAGUCAUGGAGAAUCAGCCAGAGGAUCAACAUUCACAACACGGGCAGGGGAAUGAUCCGAACUUGUAUAGGUCCAUGAGGGACAGGAUGCACCCUCCGAGGAUGAGUGCACCAUCUUGCAUCAUUCCUCCUACAGAGCAAUUGAUUAUCAGGCCACACAUCGUGCCUCUGCUUCCUACUUUCCAUGGGAUGGAAAGUGAAAAUCCAUAUGCGCACAUAAAGGAAUUCGAAGAUGUGUGCAAUACUUUUCAAGAAGGGGGAACAGCUAUUGAGCUUAUGAGGUUGAAGCUCUUUCCAUUCACAUUAAAGGACAAAGCCAAGAUAUGGCUCAAUUCCUUGAGGCUGAGAAGCAUAAGAACAUGGACAGAACUUCAGGCUGAUUUUUUGAAGAAGUUUUUCCCUACUCACAGAACAAAUGGAUUGAAGAGACAAAUCUCCAACUUCUCAGCACGUGAGAAUGAAAAAUUUUAUGAAUGCUGGGAGAGGUAUAUGGAAGCCAUCAAUGCAUGUCCUCACCACGGCUUUGAUACAUGGUUUUUGGUGAGCUAUUUUUAUGAUGGCAUGUCAUCUUCAAUGAAGCAGAUAUUGGAGACAAUGUGUGGGGGCGAUUUCAUGAGCAAGAACCCUGAGGAGGCUAUGGAUUUCCUAAGUUAUGUCUCAGAGGUCUCCUGUGGAUGGGAUGAGCCCACUAACAGAGAAAUGGGGAAGAGGCCAGUUCAGCAAAUGUCAAAAGGGGGGAUGUACAAUCUGAGUGAAGACAUGGAGAUGAAAGCCAAGGUGGCUGCCAUGGCUAGACGAAUAGAGGAAAUGGAGUUGAGAAAAGUUCACGAAGUCCAAGCUAUUUCAGAGCCUCAACAACCAGCCAAUCCUUGCUCCAUAUGUCAGUCAUUUGAACAUAUGGUGGAAGAAUGUCCCACCAUUCCAGCAGCAAGAGAAAUGUUUGGGGAACAAGCUAACCUGAUUGGCCAAUGGAAGCCAAAUUCAAAUGCUCCCUAUGGCAACACGUACAACUCUAGCUGGAGGAACCACCCAAACUUUGCAUGGAAGCCAAGGCCAAACCCAUAUCAGUCACCAGCCCAAUCAAGCCAACAGAGUCAAGGUCAAUCCUCAGUUGAGCAAGCACUCAUAAGCCUUAGCAAGGUUAUGGGUGACUUUGUGAGUGAGCAAAAAUCCAUCAACUCUCAACUAAAUCAGAAGAUUGACAACGUAGAGAGUACAUUGAACAAGAAGAUAGAUGGGAUGCAUAAUGAGUUGUCUCAGAAAAUUGACAACAUCCAAUAUUCCAUCUCAAGGCUCACAAAUUUGAACACUGUUAAUGAGAAAGGAAAGUUUCCCUCUCAGCCUCACCAAAAUCCUAAGGGGAUACAUGAAGUGNNNNNNNNNNNNNNNNNNNNNNNNNNNNNNNNNNNNNNNNNNNNNNNNNNNNNNNNNNNNNNNNNNNNNNNNNNNNNNNNNNNNNNNNNNNNNNNNNNNNCAAGAGGUAGUAAGGGCUGAAGUGUUGAAGCUUCUUCAAGCGGGCAUCAUUUACCCCAUUUCGGAUAGCACUUGGGUGAGUCCAACCCAAGUUGUUCCAAAGAAGUCCGGGAUAACCGUAGUCAAGGGGGAAAAUGGAGAUGAAGUGUCCACACGCCUCACAACUGGUUGGAGGGUGUGCAUUGACUACAGGAAGCUGAACGCAGUAACGAGAAAGGAUCACUUCCCUUUACCUUUCAUGGAUCAAGUCCUUGAGAGAGUAUCUGGGCAUCCUUUUUAUUGCUUCUUGGAUGGGUAUUCCGGGUAUUUUCAAAUAGAGAUUGCUGUGGAGGACCAGGAGAAGACUACCUUCACUUGUCCAUUCGGCACCUAUGCUUAUAGGCGGAUGCCUUUUGGAUUAUGCAAUGCUCCUGCUACCUUCCAAAGAUGCAUGCUUAGCAUCUUCAGUGACAUGGUUGAACGAAUAAUGGAAGUCUUCAUGGAUGACAUAACUGUGUAUGGGACUUCUUUUGAGGAUUGUUUGUCACAUCUUGAAGAUGUUUUGAAAAGAUGCAUAGAGAAAGACCUCGUACUCAAUUGGGAGAAGUGCCAUUUUAUGGUAAAUCAAGGUAUUGUUCUUGGGCACGUAAUCUCAAAGAAGGGUAUAGAGGUAGAUAGAGCUAAGGUGGAACUAAUUGUGAAGUUGCCACCUCCCACCAAUGUAAAAGGAAUAAGGCAAUUCCUGGGGCAUGCCGGGUUCUAUAGGAGGUUUAUAAAGGAUUUUUCCAAGAUUGCUAAACCUCUUUGUGAAUUAUUGGUGAAGGAUGCCAAGUUUGAGUGGGAUGAUAAAUGUCAAAGGAGUUUUGAGCUUCUUAAGCAAUUCUUGACAUCAGCACCCAUUGUGAGAGCACCAAAUUGGGAGUUGCCAUUUGAAGUGAUGUGUGACUCAAGUGAUUAUGCCAUUGGGGCUGUUUUGGGACAAAGAGAAGAUGGUAAACCUUAUGUGAUCUACUAUGCAAGUAAGUCUUUGAAUGAUGCUCAAAGGAAUUACACCACUACUGAGAAGGAAUUACUUGCUGUGGUGUAUGCUUUGGAUAAGUUCAGAGCUUAUUUGAUAGGGUCUUCCAUUGUGGUAUUCACGGAUCAUUCAGCUUUGAAGUAUUAGCUAACCAAGCAAGAUGCCAAGGCUAGGUUAAUUAGGUGGAUACUUUUGCUUCAAGAGUUCAACCUCCAGAUCAGAGAUAAGAAAGGUGUUGAGAAUGUGGUAGCUGACCACUUGUCAAGGCUCAACAUUGCUCAUGACACCCAUGGACUUCCCAUAAAUGAUGAUUUCCCUGAGGAAUCCUUGAUGCUUGUGGAGGAAGUGCCAUGGUUUGCACACAUUGCCAAUUACUUGGUCACGGGAGAAAUACCAAGUGAAUGGAGCUCUCAGGACAAGAAGAAUUUCUUUGCCAAGGUCCAUGCAUAUUAUUGGGAGGAGCCUUUUCUCUUCAAAUAUUGUGCGGACCAAAUUAUAAGGAAGUGUGUUCCUGAACAAGAGAAGCAUGGGAUCCUAUCUCAUUGCCAUGAGAAUGCAUGUGGAGGCNNNNNNNNNNNNNNNNNNNNNNNNNNNNNNNNNNNNNNNNNNNNNNNNNNNNNNNNNNNNNNNNNNNNNNNNNNNNNNNNNNNNNNNNNNNNNNNNNNNNUACAAUCUCAGUUAAUAUUGGAGGAACCCAAGUGGAGAAGGCAUUGCUGAUUUGGGGGCAAGUGUUAACUUGCUUCCAUACUCUGUAUACAAGGAGCUGGGGUUGGGAGAACUCAAGUCAACAUCGAUCACCCUAUCCUUAGCUGACCGAUCAGUGAAAAUCCCCAGGGGGGUAAUAGAGGAUGUAUUGGUUCAAGUUGACAAAUUCUACUAUCCAGUAGAUUUUGUGGUGCUUGAUACGGAUCCCAUUGUCAAAGGGAUCAACUAUGUUCCAAUCAUCCUUGGAAGACCAUUCCUUGCAACAUCCAAUGCAAUCAUCAAUUGUAGGAAUGGGGUCAUGCAACUCACUUUUGGGAAUAUGACAUUGGAACUCAACAUCUUCCAUCUAUGUCAAAAGCACAUCCAUCCUGAAGAAGAUGAGGGCCCAGAAGAAGUUUGUAUGAUAGAUACCCUGGUGGAGGAGCAUUGUAAUCAGAGUAUGCUUGAUCAGUUUGAAGAGAAUCCAGAUGAAAGCCAUGAAGAUCUUGAUGAUGGGUUAGCUGAACCCAUGGGAAUGAAUGCCGUUAUGUCAAACUGGAGACAAAAGCCAGUGAUCCUCCCUUUGUUCAAGGAUGAGGAAGAGAUGAAAGAAGCUAAGGAUGUAAUCCUUAAGCUUGAAUUGAAGACCCUUCCUACCGAGUUGAAGUAUGCUUACUUGGAGGAAGGCAAUAAAGCCCCGGUGGUAAUUUCUUCUUCUUUAACCGUUUUACAAGAGGACAAUCUUCUAAGAAUCCUUAGAAAGCACAAGAAGGCAAUCGGAUGGCAAAUUUCUGAUUUGAAGGGGAUAAGCCCAUUGAUUUGCACGCACCAUAUUUAUAUGGAGGAGGGAGCUAAGCCAACUCGUCAGCCACAGAGAAGAUUGAAUCCUCAUAUGCAAGAGGUAGUAAGGGCUGAAGUGUUGAAGCUUCUUCAAGCGGGCAUCAUUUACCCCAUUUCGGAUAGCACUUGGGUGAGUCCAACCCAAGUUGUUCCAAAGAAGUCCGGGAUAACCGUAGUCAAGGGGGAAAAUGGAGAUGAAGUGUCCACACGCCUCACAACUGGUUGGAGGGUGUGCAUUGACUACAGGAAGCUGAACGCAGUAACGAGAAAGGAUCACUUCCCUUUACCUUUCAUGGAUCAAGUCCUUGAGAGAGUAUCUGGGCAUCCUUUUUAUUGCUUCUUGGAUGGGUAUUCCGGGUAUUUUCAAAUAGAGAUUGCUGUGGAGGACCAGGAGAAGACUACCUUCACUUGUCCAUUCGNNNNNNNNNNNNNNNNNNNNNNNNNNNNNNNNNNNNNNNNNNNNNNNNNNNNNNNNNNNNNNNNNNNNNNNNNNNNNNNNNNNNNNNNNNNNNNNNNNNNNNNNNNNNNNNNNNNNNNNNNNNNNNNNNNNNNNNNNNNNNNNNNNNNNNNNNNNNNNNNNNNNNNNNNNNNNNNNNNNNNNNNNNNNNNNNNNNNNNNNNNNNNNNNNNNNNNNNNNNNNNNNNNNNNNNNNNNNNNNNNNNNNNNNNNNNNNNNNNNNNNNNNNNNNNNNNNNNNNNNNNNNNNNNNNNNNNNNNNNNNNNNNNNNNNNNNNNNNNNNNNNNNNNNNNNNNNNNNNNNNNNNNNNNNNNNNNNNNNNNNNNNNNNNNNNNNNNNNNNNNNNNNNNNNNNNNNNNNNNNNNNNNNNNNNNNNNNNNNNNNNNNNNNNNNNNNNNNNNNNNNNNNNNNNNNNNNNNNNNNNNNNNNNNNNNNNNNNNNNNNNNNNNNNNNNNNNNNNNNNNNNNNNNNNNNNNNNNNNNNNNNNNNNNNNNNNNNNNNNNNNNNNNNNNNNNNNNNNNNNNNNNNNNNNNNNNNNNNNNNNNNNNNNNNNNNNNNNNNNNNNNNNNNNNNNNNNNNNNNNNNNNNNNNNNNNNNNNNNNNNNNNNNNNNNNNNNNNNNNNNNNNNNNNNNNNNNNNNNNNNNNNNNNNNNNNNNNNNNNNNNNNNNNNNNNNNNNNNNNNNNNNNNNNNNNNNNNNNNNNNNNNNNNNNNNNNNNNNNNNNNNNNNNNNNNNNNNNNNNNNNNNNNNNNNNNNNNNNNNNNNNNNNNNNNNNNNNNNNNNNNNNNNNNNNNNNNNNNNNNNNNNNNNNNNNNNNNNNNNNNNNNNNNNNNNNNNNNNNNNNNNNNNNNNNNNNNNNNNNNNNNNNNNNNNNNNNNNNNNNNNNNNNNNNNNNNNNNNNNNNNNNNNNNNNNNNNNNNNNNNNNNNNNNNNNNNNNNNNNNNNNNNNNNNNNNNNNNNNNNNNNNNNNNNNNNNNNNNNNNNNNNNNNNNNNNNNNNNNNNNNNNNNNNNNNNNNNNNNNNNNNNNNNNNNNNNNNNNNNNNNNNNNNNNNNNNNNNNNNNNNNNNNNNNNNNNNNNNNNNNNNNNNNNNNNNNNNNNNNNNNNNNNNNNNNNNNNNNNNNNNNNNNNNNNNNNNNNNNNNNNNNNNNNNNNNNNNNNNCAAAGCUUGCCAUCUUCCCGUUGAGAUUGAGUUCAAGGCAUGGUGGGCCAUUAAAAAGCUCAACAUGGAUUUAACUAAGGCUGGGCUAAAGAGGAGUUUGGAUUUAAAUGAGCUUGAGGAAUUGAGAAAUGAUGCCUAUCUCAACUCAAAAAUAGCUAAGGAAAAGCUAAAGAGAUGGCAUGAUCAGUUGGUGACCAAGAAAGAAUUUUUCAAGGGACAAAGAGUCUUGCUAUAUGACUCUAAGCUUCACCUAUUUCCGGGAAAGCUCAAAUCAAGGUGGGUAGGGCCUUUUGUCAUCCACCAAGUACACUCACAUGGAGUAAUUGAGUUACUCAACUCAAAUAGUGCAAAGACCUUUAAGGUCAAUGGCCAUCGUCUCAAGCCAUUCAUUGAACCAUUCAAGCAAGACAAGGAGGAAAUCAACCUCCUUGAGCCACAGAAAGCCUAAUCAGAAAAGGGUUAGAUGGGCUUGGUUUCACCAAAGUCCAUAUUUUUUGUUUAAGUUUAUUAAUUUAGAAGCUUUAUUAACUCUUUUGAUUUUGAUUUUGGUCUAAAGUUUUGUUAAUUAUAAGUAACUUCCUCUUUUUGAAUGAUCUUUUGUAGGAAGAUUUGCAAAGAAUAUGAAGGAAGGUCUCAGAGGGCCAAAAGGAGCUUAAAGCUAUGAAAUUUUAGUGGUCUGCGAAAUUUUGCAGCCCAAAAUAGGCCCCUGCGAAAAAGUCCAUCUGCUGCGAAAUCAUUUCGCAGCCCUUACAUGGCCUCUGCGAAAUCAAGGUUUGGCUGCGAAUGGCCCUCCGCUGCGAAAUAAAUUUCGCAGCCCAACACCCUCCUCUGCGAAAAUUUUCGCAGCUGCGAAACCACCUCUUGGCACUCGUGUGCCAUUUCGCAGCACAGUAACUCCAUUUCGCAGCUGCGAAAUGGCUGCGAAAUCCCCAAAGCGUCAAAUCUUCAAUUUUCACAGCGAUAGCCUCAUUUCGUAGGGUGUUUCGCAGCUGCGAAACACCCCUUUGGCACUCGUGUGCCAUUUCGCAGCACAGUAACCCAAUUUCGCAGCUGCGAAAUGGGCUGCGAAAAGGGCCCUCCUCUGCGAAAAUGCUUUUUUGUUGCGAAAUCAGCCCUCCUCUGCGAAAAUUAAAGUGACCCUUGGUAUCCAAUUUUUAACAGUAUAAAUUCCAAAUUUCUAAUAUAACCGGUCAUUUGAACUUUAAAUAGUACCAGAGAAGACCCAAAAACAGAGCAACCUUCCAUCUUCUCCCUCUCGCCUGAACCUCGGCCGCGCACCUCCGCCCAUCUCCGCCGGCCCGCCAUGGCAAGAACUCGAGGAGCUAAGUCCUCCUCCCCGUCAAGCCGUACGAGGGCUUCAUCAAAGACCCCUGUCCAAGGCUCCACAUCCGAGCCUCCGCGACCACCGCGCGUCUCACCUCCAGUUGAGGGCGCACCAAUGAGCCCUCCAGUCAGGCGCUAUCAUACACGGGCGAGUAGCCAGCCACCCAAGAAGAAAGCUAAGGUAUCUGAGCCAGUAUUAAUUGAUUUAUCAGAGCCAGAAGAGCCAGCUACAGAGCCUCAGCCGUCUCAGCCGUCUCAGCCAGCUUCAGGGUCUCGGCCGUCUCAGCCGUCUCAGCCGUCUCAGCCAGCUUUAGAGCCUCAGCCGUCUCUGCCGCCGCCUACAGAUUCUCAGAUCCCCUCCGGCAUGACUCCUGAGAUGAUUAUCAAGCGCCCCAUGCUCACUCAGCCGCCCAUAGAGGGUAAUUUAGACUGCAGGGCUAGGCCUUUCCACUCUGAGCUCUGUUUUGACGUGGCCGCUUUCAGACUUCAGCCCCAGCUCAAGGACUCCUUCCAUCUGCUCCGGAGGUAUCAUAUGGAACAAUUGCUUACUCCAAGGGAUUUCUUUUAUCCCCGUGUGGCAAUGGAUUUUUAUCAAUCCAUGACCACACACCAUGUCCGAGAUCCUACUGUCAUCCACUUCACCAUAGACGGACGUCAUGGUAUUCUGGGAGCUAGGCACAUAGCAGAGGCAUUGCGCAUUCCCUACGAGCCAGCUAGGCCAGAGGAUUAUCGAGUCUGGACUAAUCCUUCCCCGAGCGACAUAGUUCGUAUUCUGUCCAGAGGGGCAUCCACAGGCCAGUAUCUACAGAGGAAGGAGCUCCCUCCUAGCAUGUUUUUCAUAGAUGCUCUCCUCCGCCACAAUAUCUUUCCACUACAGCACUGGGUGCAGAGGCGAGGAGCUUUGCUGGAGGCUUUAUAUCGGAUAUCUGAGGGAUUCUUCUUUGGCCCUCAUCAUCUCAUUAUGGCCGCCCUUCUGUAUUUUGAAGAGAAGGUCCAUCAGAAGAAGCUGCUUAGAGUUGAUGCCAUUCCUCUACUGUUCCCCAGAUUGUUAUGUGGAACACUUGGGCUACCCAACUGAGCCUCAAUUUGAGGGCAAACGGAUUUGUCGAGAGAUAUUCACUCUUGACAAAUGGACGAAUAUGACAGCCUAUAGUGCAGAGCCAGGGGCCCUAGCUGGAGUAGAGCAUCCAGGGAUUCCACAUGCAGAGCAGCCACAGGAGCCACAGCCCAUAGAGACACCAGCUGACACGAGAGCACCUGCCCCUGCAGUGCCCUCUGCAGAGCCCAUACCUGAGGUUGCACCCUCUGCUGAUCCUACCACACCACAGCCUCCCCCUGUUUUUUCAGCCACAUCACAGCCCUCCUCUUCAGCAGAGCCGAGGACUUCCAUAUCCAUUUCCGAGUACAGAGCUCUAUGUCACACUUUGCAGACAUUGACCACUUCACAGAGCACUCUUACUCAGGAGAUGGCUGCUCUUCAUGCUCAUCAGGAGCAAAUUAUUGCUACUCAGACUCAGCAUACUGCCAUUCUGAGGCAGAUUCAGAGCCAUCUGGGUAUUCCAUCAGCUCCUCAGCACCAGAUGCCUGCCCCUUUAGAGCCUACAGAGCCGACUCCAGUGGACACACAGACAUCCACCUGAGUCAUUAUCUUCACAUCAUCAGCACCCAUCUACUUGAUCAUUUCCAUAGUUUACUUUACGUAUUUUCUUUAUGCAUUUUCUUAUUAUAGUAGCACUUGCAAUCCCAUGCUUUUGUUAUGAUAUAUAUUGGGAUUGGUUGUAUUACUUGUUAUUAUCUUUAAUGUACUAUCAUGAAGUAAUACAACUCUAUCAUUUUUUGCAUACUCUUGGUAUUAUUUUAUUUUUAUUCCUCUACUCAUAUCUAUUUUCUUUUUGAAACAUGUGGUUUCUCCUUAUCUCCUCAAAUUACAUACCACUCAGGAGGCACCACUUCCUCCCUAUAAUUUCAAUCGCUCAUGCCACAUUGAGGACAAUGCUCAGCUUGGUUGGGGGGGGGGGGGGGGGGGGGACAGUUGAGGAAGGAAGUUUUUUUUUUAUUAUUAUUGUUAAUACUAAAAAUAUUGGGAAAUUUGGGUUAUUUUUUUUAAAUUUUAAAAAUUUUUCCCAUGGGUGUUAAAAAAAAAUUUCCAAAAAAAAAAAAAGAAAAAUCCAGUUUUAANNNNNNNNNNNNNNNNNNNNNNNNNNNNNNNNNNNNNNNNNNNNNNNNNNNNNNNNNNNNNNNNNNNNNNNNNNNNNNNNNNNNNNNNNNNNNNNNNNNNUCUAUCAUUUCUUACAUUAUCGAGGUAUUAUUUUAUUUUUAUUCCUGAACUCAUAUGGAUUUUAUUUUAGCAACAAGGGGUUUAUCCUUGACUCCUCUAAUUACUUACCACUCAAGAGGCACCCCUUCCUCCCUAUAAUUUCAAUCGUUCAUGCCCCCAAGAGGACAAUGUUCAGCUUGUUUGGGGGGGGGGGGGGGGGGGGGACAGUUGAGGAAGGAAGUUUUUUUUUUAUUAUUAUUGUUAAUACUAAAUAUAUUGGUAAUUUAGGUUACUUUUGUUUAAUUUUUAAAAUUUUUCUCUAUGGUUGUUAAAGAUAAUUUCUCAAAAAUAAAAUAGGAUAAGUCGAGUUGUAACUUAAUUAUUUAAGUCUUUGAGUUUGUUUUAUGCUUUCAAAGUUGAUAAUCUAUUAAAGCUCUCUUUGAUUUCGAACUUAUUUCUUCCAUUUCAAGCUUUACACACACAGUGCACAUUAGAUCCCGGAUAUAUGAUGUAAAACUUUCUCACCUUCUAAGCUUAGGAAAAUUUUGACUUGGUUCAUUUCUUAACUUCUCUUUAAUAGUGUUGGGACACCUCAUAAAGGCCAAUGAGUCUUUCAAAAAAAAAAAAGAAAAAAAAGAAAAAAAAAAAAAAAGGAAUAAGCUUCUAUUCUUUCCUUAAAACCUAAGCAUGAUCCGAAGGGGUGGCGAAAGCCUUUAAAACCCGAUGCCCUAAACCUUGAUUGGUUGGGAGUCAUCGAUUCUCUGCUUGCUACAUAGGUGAAUUGGUUAAAGUUUAGUGAGUAAAAAGAAUUGUGAAUAAGAAGGUGCGUUCCUAACCUAUUAAGAGUUGGUUAAUUUUACCUUUGUUCGAGAAAAGCUUAGGUUGGAGGGUGAGGAUAGUUGUGUAUACUAUAUCCGGAACCUAAUCUCGUUAACACUUAGCUCAUUAUGGAAGAGUUUGAUUUGGAACCUUGAGAGUAGAGAUCUUUUGAUACUUAAUUGCAUAAUCUCCACUCUUUGUACUUUUUGUUUAAGUUUUAGCUUUGACAACUCCUAUUGCAUUUUGAAUCUUCAUAUCUUUAGUUCACCAUGUGAGAUGUGUUUUGAUAUCGGUCAUGCCACUCAAUUUGUUUUUUUUUGGAAUGAUUUGCAUGACCUCUUUUAUGUUUAUUACUUUGUUUGCUUAGUUUUUCUCUCCUUAAUUGCUAAGGGACUAGCAAUAUGUCGGUUGGGGGGAGUGAUUACUACUCAAAAAGGGCUAUUUGAUAGCUUGUAAUUAACUCUUUUAAACAAUUUUGAGUAGUAGUUAUUGCCUUUUAACCCAAUUAGCAUAUUGAGGACCUUUGCAAUCACUUCUAAUCAUUUUGUGUAAGUUUUGGUGUUUUUGUUAGUAAUUUGAUCACCAAAGCAACCCAAGGUGGGGGAGAGUUAUUUGGAAUCCAUGGCAAAGCAAUGGAAAGCUCAGAAACAUGAAGAAUCAGAGCUUUGAAGCCUUAAAGUCCUUUGCCAUAACCAAUCCGGAAUGCAAGGAGGAGAAGUAAAGAGAGAAUCUACCUUGAAGCAUUCUUGAUGACAGUCAUUUCAGCCACUUUUGGAGUACUUCCUGAAGUCCAAUUUAUGCAUGCUUUAUGUUGUUUCGAAGAUCGGGAAGUCAACAAUCCAAUGCUUCAAAUGGUUCGCAAAUCAGAGUUGAAAUGAAGAAGUUAGAGCCAAUGGAAGCAGAUCACUCCAAGCUGAAGGCCAAUUUCGCAGGGCUGCGAAAUCAGCCUUUGGCUGCGAAAUCAGCCUUCGGCUGCGAAAUGAUUUCGCAGCCAUCUUGUUCGUCUGCGAAAUUUCGCAGCCAUUUUGUGCGCCUGCGAAAUUCUCCUGAGUGCUUCCAGAUAUUUGCCACCAACGUUUUUUGUUAUUUUGCCUCAGAUAUUUGCUGUCUAAAUCCCAAUUCUCUCCUUGUAAUCCACCAAUUAGAUGAUUCCUUAGUUGUUAAGCAAGGAUACAGGGGUAAACAACCUAUUAUAUAUUGUUUUGUAAGUUUCAUUUUAAGGGUCGUCGGGGAAUUUUCUCCAAAAGACCAUCUUUUGUAAAGUUUACACUUAGCUAAAUACAGAGUAUCUUUUGCUUUCUUUUUCUCUCUUCUAUUUUCUAUUUUCUUAGUAGCCAAACAUCCUUGGAGGAUGAAAUCCCCAAGGAUGAGAGGCUAAAACCUUUUAGUUUCUUGAAGUAAUGGAUGCCAUGUGAAGCUCCCGUGUCAGGAUGGAGAUUUCCAAGCCAUGAAUGUAAGUAGCUGAGCGUCAUAAAUGUUUUCAUUCAAAGUAAAGCUUUUAAUCCCUCUGACUUGCUUUGAAUGGCCAAUACUUGAUAACCUUUUGGUCUCAGUGGAUUCUUAUUGUUAGAUCCACUGAUGUUCAUUAGUUAUCUCCUACGAGCCAUUGUAUUGCAAGUCGAGGAGAUGACCUAUAUCAUUAAAAGAGCAUUUAUGAGGUUCAACUACCCUUUUUGUAAGUUUUCAAGGACUAAAACUCAGUUGUUAAACUCAUACCGGUUCGGGAAGUAAGCAUCACCUUAGUUGCUUCCCCAACUCGAGGUGAAAAGUCCCAAAAUCUCCAUUUUUACACAGUGAGUUAAGCAUGGCUAUCCAAAGCUUUGAGAAACUUCUUUUUCCAUCUUUUAACCUAUUUUCAUGUUAGUUUAGUUUACACACCUUCAUCUUUUUAUGUUUUCAUCUUAACCUAAUUUUUAUUAAGAAAAGUUCACUCCAUCCUCCGAACUUCACCAGUUAAAGUAAAAACCCUUCCCAGUGUUCGAUCCUAGAGCCACUAUGCUAUAGUAGCUUUGCUACUUUAGUGUAAGGACCUUAGGUAUAAAUUUUGUUGAUACCCUUACAUGCCAAGCUACCAAGAGUCGGGUUAUCAGUUAUCAGGAAAAAUGCCAGAAUGGAUUGGAGAAAGCCUCCCAAAUCUAAUUGUUCUAAACCUAGGAUCUAAUAGAUUCAGUGGAGGGAUAUGUCUAGAGCUCUGUCGGUUGAAAAAUAUUCAAAUAUUGGACCUCUCUAGCAACAAUAUGUUAGGUGUUAUACUGAGAUGUUUUGGUGGUUUCACUACCAUGACUAAGAAAGGGAGCUUGGUGAUUGCUCAUAAUUAUUGGUUUGAACAGUUUGGUGAUGGCUGCUUUGAUGAUGGCGGGAUAUUUAUGAACUCCUCUUACGUUGAUAGGGCAUUGGUUAGAUGGAAAGGAAGAGAAUUUGAGUAUAAAAGUACCCUUGGGCUUGUAAAGAGUAUUGAUCUUUCAAGCAACAAACUAUCGGGGGAAAUUCCAGAAGAAGUAAUUGAUCUUGUAGGAUUAGUUUCAUUAAACUUAUCAAGGAACAAUUUUAUUGGACUGAUCCCUACAAUAAUUGGUCAAUUGAAAUCAUUAGAGGUUUUUUAUUUGUCUCAAAAUCGAAUUUUUGGCAAAAUUCCAACUAGCCUUGUUGAAAUAAGUGGUCUAAGUGUCUUAGAUCUCUCUAACAACAACUUUUCCAGUAAAAUUCCACAAGGUACUCAACUUCAAAGCUUCAAUAUUGAUUCCUACAAGGGAAAUCCUACACUUUGUGAAUUGCCUCUUUCGAAAAAGUGUUCUAAAGAUAAAAUAAAACAAGAUUGUCUCAUUCAUAACAUUGAAGACAAAAUUCAGCAAGAUGGAAAUGACAUGUGGUUUUAUGUUAGUGUUGCUCUUGGAUUCAUUGUUGGAUUUUGGGGAGUGUGUGGAACUUUACUACUCAAUAACUCAUGGAGAUAUGCCUAUUUCCAAUUCUUGAAUAAAAUAAAAGAUUGGUUGUACGUGAUUAUAGCAAUAAAUAGGGCUAGAUUACAAAUGAGUCUUCAAAGCUAAAUGGUACAAUUCUCUCCCUCUCUCCCUCCUUUUCAUUUGUACUUGUUUUUGAAGGCCAACAAUGGUAAAAGAAAAGUAGGCCUUUACAUAUCCUUGGGAUAUACUUUAUAAAUCACAAAUGCUAAUGUAAAUUUUCUUUCCAUGCAACUAACUGAAGAGACUUUUUCAAAUUGAUGAACAUUGAUUUUUUACUUUGUGUUAAUUGCAGGACUUCAACUCUUGUUCUUGCCAUAUUAGCAUGAUUGAAUACAAAUCGCUAUGUCCUUCAUUAAUCUAUGAUUGAUUUUGGGAUGUAAUAGGUUUCUUGUUUUAUUUUGAUGAUUACUUAUGUUCUUUAGAUGCUUAUUUUAUCUUUUAUUCAAAAGUUUAUGUGACAUAUUAUCUAUUUUCUUCCUUACACAAUGCUUUUAUUUGGUAUUUGGAUACUUUAUGAUUCAUCCAAACAAUAUUAUAGAAGGAUAUCAAAGGUAUAUUAGAGUAUGACUUUCUAAUUUUAAAAAUAUUUCUUUAGCUCUAAAACUAAUUUUUAUUCAUUAAAAUUAAAACAAAAUAAAGGAUAAUGCUAUUUGGUUAUGUAUGACAUAAGUUUUUGACCAAUUAUUAAUAAUCAAAUCAUAAUUUCAACACUAAAGAAAAAAGAAAAUUUUUUCGCAAGUUACUAAUGAUCUGUUUCUCUCUUUCUAAAAAAACUAAAUUACUCUUAUAAAUGCGAAACUAUUUCUUUCUUGUCAUCAAAGCUUUCUCACAUGUAGAUAAUUUUUGUGAAAUCUUUUGUUUUCAUCCAUUUUUUUGCUUAUAUCAAGUUAACUUCGUUUUCUUCUUAGUGGUUGAUUUUAUGGAAUAUUAAGUCUAACUUCUUUUCUUAAUAAAAGGCUUUUUCUAAGCAAUUAAAAAACUCUUGUUCUUUUCUUUAUUUUAACAUAAUCCAACUAUAGGAUAACUAAAAUAUGAUUGAAAAAUAUAAAAUAGGAGAGAAUAAUUAUAUUCUAAUUAUACUCUAUAAAUAAUAUCAAAUAUUUUCUUCACUUAUUAGAAAAUAGUACUGAACUCCAACAUCAUGAGAUUAACAUCCCAAUGAUCUUUUUUUAUUUGUUAAAAAUUCUUAUCUUUCGAGGUACAUAACAAAAUUCCUUAAACACUUUAGCCCAAUGAUCUCAUGUUGUUUUGUUUUAAUUUUUUUUAUCCUUUCCCAUCUUUUUGAGGUCCUCCAUAGCUAGGAUUACUCUUUGUGAGAAUUUACUCAAAAAGCCAUUAAGAAUCAAGUCCUUUCGAUUUACUCUUUAUGAUAAAAUCUUUUAUCUAAAAUAUUUUUCAUGAAACGAUAAUUCUCUACUAUGAUUUUUUAAAUUUAAAAUUAUAAAAGACUUCAAUUCUUAUUAAAAAUAUUAUUUAUAUUAAUAUUUUCUUUUGAACUCUUUCUAUUAGGACAAGUAAUGACCGUGUAGACCCCUCAUUUUGGUUCUAGAGGAGACUUAUUUUUUCUGGUCACCUUUCGUUCUGUUUUCACCUUUUGGAAGGUGAGCUCUAAUAAGCAGGUGGCAAAAGAGGAUAUUCUGGUCGUAGGCUGUGAGGGUAAGACACUGUGGCAGUGAGGUUUUGGUGUUUCUGCUGGUUGUUUUAGAGAAAGUAGUGGAGUGUCUUGGUAGCAGGAAGAGUUAGGGGGUUGUUAGAGGGCAGUAGAAAAUGUCCUCUGCAGGUAUCCAUCACCAUUUGGUUGGCGUAUUGGAGAAGUAUUGCAUUGGACCAGCAUGAGAUGGUAAGAAACUCCCAACUUAAUUUGGAGCGAUACCUUUGUUUUCAUGCUGAGUACCAGAGUUGGGACUAGGAAUUUGAUCACUAACAAGAAUAGUGAGCAUUUUAGGUUGAAUGAGGGUCCUUCGAGAAUCUACGGAUGAUGGCCACUUGAUUUUGGAGUUGGGGAACUAAUUUUCUCACUGCUGAUGAUAUGAGUGUCAUACUAGUUGCAAAACUGAAGAGAAGAUUGGGAUGUGAAAUGUGGGCAAAAUUACAUUUGACUGGCAUGCAUGUUGAUAAGGGUAUCACUGGAGAUCAGGUAGAGGUAGGUGGCCUUUCUAGGGGUUUUUAGACAGAAAAUGUGCUUUCCGAUAGGUAACCUAACCCUUGGACCCAACUUGGUCCUUCCACCAAGUCUCAACCUUGUUAAAUGUCAUAAAUUCUCUAAGUUCAGGCUGCCUCUAGAAUGCAAUUAAUAAUAUUAAAAUGUUACUAUUAAAAGAUAAUUAAUGAUAAUAAAUAUAGUUUAUGAAAUUUGAAUAUUUUUAUUCUAACAACCUAUAAAUAGAAUAACAACUUGACUAAUAUUAAAAUAUAUCAUUUGUAAAGAAAUGUAUCAUAUGUAUAGCUUGUUGAAAUUUGAAUAUCUUUGUUAUAGUCACAUAUAAAUAAAAUAAUAAAUUUGUUGAUAUUAAAAAUGUAUAUUUAUUUAGAAAGUUUGUAUAAGGAAAGUGACAAAUUGACUGAUCAUAUUAAAAAUAUAUUUAUUUAGAAAACAUGUGACAUUUUUCUCAUCAUAUUCUUCAUAUUUGUAAGAAAGGUAUCAAAAGUGUCCUAAAAAUUAAAUUUGUUAUUCACUCUACUUGGAUAAGUAUCCUAAAAAUUUUCAAUGCUAGUUCACAUGCAUUCUAUAUCAACUUCUCGUUAGAUUGCUAGUGCACCUCACGUGCCUCAUCUUGCAUACUAAAAAUUUUCAUAAUGAACUCGAAAAUGCAUUUUCAUGUUAUUUCCAUUUCCAAGUCAAGACCAAAUACAUAUUAAAAUCAAACACAUAUAUAGCUAAAACUAAAAGGUUGAAGGGGCUUAUUUAUGCAAAACAUCCAAAUAUCUUGAAACCUUUUCUUUUCUUUUUGUUUGCUAAAUGUUUCAUAGAGAGAAAGUAGAUCACCCCAACCUGUGAUAAGGGUUCUUCAAAAUGAACAAUGUUAAUGGAAACAGUAAGUGUAUUUUGUGUAUUGGAAAUUUCGGGUCAAUCAUAGCUCAUAUUCUUCAAAUCCUCCCUUGUACACUUGCCUUUUCCAAAUUGUUCGUGCUUGAAGAUGACUAAAGGAAUUGGUAAGUGCAUUUGAGGUGAUGGAUGAUGGAAAACAAUGAUCAAUUGUAUUUUAAUUUAAUUUUUUAUCCUUUUAUUGGAAAAUGAAAUUAAAGCUUAAAAGUGUAAAACAUUGUGUUUAAAACAUUUGGAUCGGUUUUUCAUCAAUCGAACUAAAGAGUAACAAUUUAUCUUGAACACAGAUUUUUUAGUCUUGUCUAAUCGAUCAUAUUUCAAUCACACCUAUGAAUUUUCAUGAUUUUCCAAACAAAUCUCAAUCAUUGGUAGAGUUUCAAAACACUAAUACAAAAGCUCUCUUUUGAGUCGUGGAAAGAUGAGUGUGAGAGUAAAAACCUUUGGUUUUUGUGCUUCAAGUUUUUCUUACUAUAUUGGGGAGUGUUUGCCUUAUGAAAAAAAUUUAUGAGUUUCAAUUGAAAAUCAGUUUUUGAGUAAAAAAUCUUUAGUUCCAAAUGGGUUGAUUCAUUGUGUUCUUCAUCCUACCUCUCAUAUUUCUCUCAUAUCUAACUUAUUGUGGUAAAACCCAAGAUUCUUCCUUUGUGGACUCAAGAAAAGGCCGAGAUCAAAGCUUAGAGUGGAUUCCAAGUGUUUUCCUAAAGAAGAAUGAUGGUAGGUAAAGCUUGAAGGUUCUAGGCAAGUGGUCCAAGAAAUAAUGUAAGACUUGGGCUAGGUAAAACCUUGUACUCAACUAUUUUUUCUUCAUAAUGGAUUAUUUGAUUGUUUGAGGCCUGUGGUUUUUUAUCUUUUUAGAGGUUUUCCGUGUUAAAAAAAUUGGUGCCAUUGUCUAUUUUUUCUAUCUUGUCUUUUGAUUAGCAUUUCAUGAGCUUAUGAUAUUUUUCAUUGUUUUAUGGUGAUUGAAUUAAUUGGAGCAUGAGCUAAAAUGUGUCUAUUGAAUCUUUGAAAGAACAAGAUAUAUGUUAGUUGUUGAUUGAUGAUAAGGGGCAUGUGAAAAAACGUUUUUAUAUUGAUGCAAUGUUUUAUAUAUUAGGUUUGGGGAGUGUUGUUUCAUUUGCAUGUGACUUGCAUUGAAUAACUUGUUUAGGAGAGCGUUGGUGCAUCCAUUGUUGCUUGUGAUUCGCUUGUUUGUUCAUAAGGUUGAAAAAGAAAAUCAUUGUAUAAGGGAAAAAUAGGGGAAUUGUGAGAAUUUAUGAGAUACCAUCUGUAAUUGUUUUAAAAAACACCUAUUCAUCCCCCUCUAGGCAUUAUCCAUAAGUGAGAUUCACCUUCAAUUGGAAUUAGAGUGAGUUUCAAAGCAAAAAUCAUUGUCGAUCCUUAAAUCUCAAAUAUGGAACCUCAUCAAGAGGGUGCACCUAUUGGGAUACCCCCCUUUUUAAUUGGUGAAAAUUAUUCUCAUUGGAAAGUAAGAAUACAAUAUUUUCUCAAAAUGCAAAGUGAAAAAGUAUGAAAUGCCGUUGAAUUUGGUUGGCCUCCACCUAAGGUGUUGGAUAGAGAAGGUAGACUAACAAAUGUGAUCAAGCUUAAAUUGGAAUGGGAUAGAGGUGAAAAUGAAGCUAGUGAGAACAAUGUUAGGGCCAUGUAUUCCAUCUUCAAUGCCAUUAGCAUGGAUGAAUUUCGUAGGAUUGCUACUUGUACCUUAGCUAAGGAAGCUUGGGACAUCCUCCAAGUGACUCAUGAAGGAACCAAUGCUGUUAAAGUGCCUAAACUUCAAAUGUUGACCUCUAGGUUUGAGAUAAUUAGGAUGGAAGAUCAUGAGAAUUUUGGAGAGUUUCAUGCAAAAUUGAUGGAUAUUGUGAAUUCUAGUUUUAAUCUAGGUGAACCCAUACCUAAUUCUGAAAUGGUUAGAUAGAUUCUAAUGUAUCUUUCGGAGAGAUUUAGAGCAAAAGUCACCGCCAUUGAAGAGUCCAAAGUUGUGGAUUCCUUAAAGAUUGAUGAACUUGUAGGUUCCCUCCAAACCUUUGAAAUGACCCUUGUAUCACCUAAGAAAGUUAAGGGAAUUGCUUUAAAAGCUAUUAAAGAAGAGUCUCUAAGUUUCAAAAGUGAGGAUGAUGAGAAAAUGUUAGAAGAUGAGCUUACCAAGUUUGCUAAAAAAUUCAAGAAGUACAUGAAAUUCAGAAAACCUAAGAAGGAAUCAAAUGAUGGUAAAAAAUGGAGGAACUCAAUUAGGAAAAAGAAGAAGUUGGAAAAAGAUGUGAAAAAAGACUUGAAAAUUGAGUGUUUUAAUGGUGGGGGAAAUCAUCACUAUGCAUUUGAAUGUCCUUCAAAGAAAAAGAAUAAUAAGGCCAUGCACGUUACUUGGAGUGACUCUGAGUCUAAUCGAACAAGUGAAAAUGAAUCAAAUGUAUAUGAUGAAUGCACUAAAUUCAUAACCUUUGCUGCAACUAUCAAAGGGGAACCUCUCUUAAAAAAAGCUACAAGUGAGUUAAUUGAGUCAAGUGACUCCAAUGAUUAUUACAUGAGUUUUGACACGGCAUAUGAGACUUUGUAUAAGGAGUGCUUAAGCCUUAAACAAGAACAAGUUAAGUGGACGACUUCUAAUAAGAUUUUAACCAAUGGGAUUGAUGUUUUAAAGAGAAAAAAGAAGACUUUGCUUGACAAAAUUGCAUUUCUUGAAAAUGAACAUUUGGAAGUGAAGAAAAAGUGUGAUGUGUUGAAAAAUGAAAGUCAAAUGUUCAAGGAUGAGUUAAGUGUUGGGAAGGAAGAGUCAUAUCCUAGCUUUAAGAGAGUUAAUGAGUUGAUCAAUUCAAGGAGAAAAUCUUUUGAUAAAAGAGGUCUAAGAUUUGUUGAUGGAAAUGCUACUCUAAGUAACGCUAAGAUAGUUUUUGCUAAGCCUUGUGAAGAAAAAUUUCCUAAGAAAAUUCAUUCUCAUAUCAAGUUUCAUUGCACUCAUUGUGGAAAAGUGGGGCACACUUUUGAUAGAUGUUAUGCAACAUUAUUUGAUAAUUUUCAAAGGAAAUUGACCAACCUAAUGAAUGAAUGUCAUGCAUUGAAGGAUAGGUUGUUGAAUGUGAACAAGAGAGUGUCUAAGAAGCCUUUAAAUAUCCCUUAUAAUGGUGAGUUGAAAUGGAGCACCUCAAAUGGAAAAAAUGAAGGCAUUAAAUGUCAAAUAAGUUUAGGUGAAAAAGAAAGAGCUUAAGUGUCUUGUUGUCCAUAGCACACUUACAGUUAGUGGGUCACACCCAUGGUAUCUUUAUAGUGGAUGUUCACGCCAUAUGAUUGGAAAUAAAUAUUUUUUCAGAUCACUGAUUUUGAUGGAGCAAAUGUUACAUUUGGGGAUGGUAAUGUGACUAGAAUGAAAGGAAAAAACUCUAUAUGUGCUUUAGGCAUUCCUAAGCUUGAAGAGGUCUUCUAUGUGGAAGGUUUAAAGGCCAACUUAAUAAGCAUCAGCCAAUUAUGUGAGAAUAAUCUCAAUGUCCAAUUUUCAUAAAAUGUGUGCAAGGUGUUUGACUUGAAUGGUGAUUGUGUGAUGAUUAGCUUGAAAACUUUUAAUAAUUGCUAUGUUGUUUGUCAAAAUAAGCUAUUUCAUCUUCUUCUCUUGUGUUUGAAAGUUCUAAAAUUGAUUUUGUUGAUCACUUGUGGCAUAAUAGAUUGGUUCAAAAAUGAAAAUGGGUGUGUCAUUCUAAAGAUUAGGAGUGAUAGGGGAGGGAAAUGGAUGAUGUUUGUGUCAUUUAUAGAUUAGAGAAUCAUCUUCAUCAUUUUAGAGUCAAACUCAUUGGCAUUAGACAUUGCUCUAAUCAAGACUUGAUGGAAGACAAACUUGUUUCCUUCAAAUAUGUUCCUACUGAGUGUCAAAUGGUUGAUAUCCUCACUAAGCUUUUGGAUGUUUCCAGGUAUGAGUCACUUAGGAACUCCCUAGGCUUAUGUUUUCUGAGUUGAUUGUCUUUAAGGCCUUUCUAUGACAUCUCUUCUUGUAUAUUUUUUCUUCCUAGAGGUUUCAUAGGCUUAUUGAGUCCUUGUGUUGCCUUGUUUUUCUUUUUUCAUGGUUAUCAUUCUUUUUGUUUGUUUUGGUAUUUCCUUAAACCCUUUUUCCUCUCUAGUUUAAAAAUAGAUGUUUGUUUUUAUGAGGACUUGGCAUUGUUUUCUUUUUAGCAAAUGGUUAUUUUGUGUCAUAAUGAUCCAAAAGUCUUCCAAGACAUGAAAAUCCUUCUCGUGUUGGUGUGAGAUGGAGCAUAACAUGCUUAUUGUUUAGCUUUGCUUGGAUAAGCUGCAAGAUACUUAUUUCAUAUCCAUUGAGUGAUCAACAACUUGUGCAGUGUUUUAUGAUUUCAUAAAACCUAACAAAUGAUUUUUAAAGUUCAACAUUUGGUUUAUAUCAUUCAGUGUGCCUUAAAGAUUGAGUAAAGUCACAUGAAUCUUCUUGAGAAAUUGAAUUUGUGUCUCUUGAUUGUUUACACUCUCCCAAAUAAAAAAAAGAAUAUUAUUCAUUUCUCAGAAUGGUUAAAGCACCUUGGCGAUGUUUCAAGUGUAAAAAGCCUCCAUUACAAAAGUGGGGCAUUCCUUUAUGUUUGAAAUGACAUAUUUGUAUUGGCCACCUUAGUGAUCUCCAAGUCAAUAUUCUAUCCUAAGUGUGUUGUCAGCAUGUUAUCAAAACAAAUAAAAAAUAAAAAUGAAAACAAGAUGUGAUUUUGUUUGCAUGUCAAGGGAUGUAUAUUUAGUCAAAGAAUGUAUUUUUGACCAAGUUAAAUAGAAAUCUAGUAAAGGAGAUGUAAAUUGACUUCAAGAGAAAUAAAUUUGAGUUUCUUUAGGGAUGAAUAUGAUCUUGAAAAUGUUUUUUGGUUCAUGGAUAUCUAUAGCCUUAUAAGUGGAUAUUAUUUAUCAUUGUUAGUUUUUUAUGGUCUUAUGAGUAUACUCUUUAAGCCAAAAAUCAUUGGAGUGUUAAUAAUUUCUUGUUUUUUUUUUUAUCCUUUGUAGACCCUCAAUUUUGUCCCUUGCCACUUGCAUGUAUCUUGGGGGUGUCACUCGCACCCAAUUUCUGUAUGUCACGGCCAUGGAGCCCUUGUUGGGCUUAAUCGGGUUUCGGACCUCACAUGAGUUCACUUAUGGUUUGAUUUAGUGAGAGUGUUUGGUUCUUUAUGAAAUGCCGUCGUGGCCAAUUCCUUGGUUCAUAUCAUGCUACAUGUUAGGAGUUAGGGUCUCCAUAAAGAUUUCAGUUCAGUUAAAGCUCGCCGAAGCCCAUCCAAGUCGGCAGUACUCUGUCUUGUUUUAGUCAUUUCUCCCUCAUCUGAGCUCAGAAUUGCGCACCAUUUUUUUUUUGUUGGAUUCCUUAUUUCUCGAGGCAUAUUCUGUCAAAAUUUGAGAAUUUUUAUCAACCGACUCGAUUGGUUUGUUUUUGGUGUUCUUAGCACCCUAGGCCCAUUUAGAUGCACCUAGCCCAUUUGGCACACUCCUAAGUCACUUAGCAUGUUGUUUUUUUUUUUUUUAAUCAUUUGGACACCUCCUUGGUUUAGUUUCCCCCUAAUUCACCUUGGCACUUUCCACUUAGGUCACCUAGGUCACUUAGAGAUUUAUUUAUUUAUUUAUU
rnacentral:lncRNA from 1 species